CUAGUACGUGCAUAUCUCUUAACCAAAUAGAUUGUGAUUAAUGGCAAUUUUUUUUGGUCAAGAUUGCUAUUAAUAACAUACAUAAGUUGGAAAUGCCAUUAUUUCAUUGUUGAUCUUUUCAUGGUAUUUGAUGUAACAGGGACUUAUCUUAGGCGCGGAGGAUACCACAUCCAUCACAUUGACAUGGGCCUUAUCUUUGCUACUCAAUAAUCGUGACAAAUUGAGUAAAGUCCAACAAGAACUAGAUGUCCACAUUGGUAAGGAUAGACUACUUCUGACCGAAUCAGACACCAAAAACUUAGUGUACCUUCAAUCCAUCAUUAAAGAAACUCUACGCCUAUAUCCUCCUGGUCCGCUCUCUGUGAUCCAUGAAGCCAUUGAAGACUGCACGGUUAAUGGAUACCAUGUUUCAGCUGGCACUUGGCUUAUUAUGAAUCUUCAUAAGAUUCAUCAUGAUCCACUUAUAUGGGCAAACCCUUUUGAAUUUCAACCUGAAAGAUUUAUAACUACCCACAAAGACAUUGAUGUGAGGGGACAGAAUUUUGAACUAGUUCCAUUUGGAAGUGGUAGAAGAAUGUGCCCCGGAGUUUCAUUUUCACUUCAAGUUUUACAGCUUACGUUGGCUAAUGUGUUGCAUUGGUUUGAGUUUGAAACCCCAUCAGGCAUAGCAGUCGAUAUGCGUGAAGGACUUGGGAUAACGAGUUCUAAAACAACUCCAUUAGAAGUUCAUAUAACUCCUCGCCUUCUUGCUUUUGUUUACAAUUCCACUAACCCCAUUAGAGCUUACCCUGGGUAAUUUGCUGCAUUGGUUCGAGUUUCAAACUCCAUCAAACAAUCCAGUCGAUAUGUCUGAAGCAGUCAAAUUAAUGAGUCCUAAAGCAACUCCAUUAGAAGUUUAUAUAACUCCUCACAUUCCUACUUAUGUUUACCUAUAAUUAUAAUAAAUAAAUUUUUAGUAUUAUUACUAUAUAUAUCUUUUUGCUGAUUUAAUAUAUUUAUUUAUUUUGAAUAAAUAAUUUUAUUCAAAACAUGCAUUAUCAAUAAUCGUGUUGAAAGAACAUUUCAACAUACUAAAGCAUAUGAGAACGAAAGUCGAUUGGAACCUUACCCCUGUAUUGGUGGAUAUCAAUGUACUACUAAAGCAUCAAGUUGGAGUUGUUUAUUGGGCUCUUCUAAGAAAAAAUCACAGAGUUCAUUUCAUAAAGAUAUAAUUUUAGCUAAAUCAUAAAUUUAGAGUUGUUAUGCCUCCGCUGCUUGGAUCUACUCCUCACGAAAGCUCCACCUAUUACUCGGACAUAUCUUUCGGGAACAUUCCUUGACCUAACUGUCAUAUUAAUUUAUGUGAGCUCUACUCAUUAAUCGUCACUAUUCAACCUCACUAUCGUGUUUCAUCUAAAGUGAUUGAAAGCACGUCCAAUCGCCACCCUAUCUAAAUCUAUGGUGACAAACCAUUUGGCCCAUUAUUCCUGACUUGCUAAUAGAGACGUGACAUAUGGCAUCUCGAGAUUGUAGCUAAGGGUUUAAAAUCUCUCAAAUCUAACUAGAAAAAGGAACUCUCUCUUUCUCUCCGCUCCUUUCAUUCCUCCUUCAACAACCUAACCCGAUAUCAACACUAUCUUCGUUUGAACACCUCCUAUGGUGGUUGUCUGCCUUAUACCUAACGGGGUGAAUCGCCUAAUUCCACUGUCAUUUCUGUUUUAUCAAAUCCAAGCAUUAACAAUUGAUAAAGUAAGUGUAGACUCACUCCUAUUCUGAUAUUUCUCUAAUACCAAACUCAAAACCAAAUAUAAAAUGUUAUCUAAACUCAACCAAAUCAACACGAAAACUACUACUAUCAUCCUUACAACUAUUAUGCUAAACGAUAUUCAUGUCAACAAAGAUAUUAUAAAGCUUACCCAAACUAUUAAAUUAGACAAUUUGAAUUAAAAGUUGAUUUGAAAUUAAAUGCUUUUAUCGUAUGUGUCAUUAAACGGAGCUUUCUACAUUAGCAUGUAACUUGUUAGAUGGAGCUUUCUAGCAGGCAGGGGCUUGAGCUUGAUCCCCACUUGGCUAAAGGGUAUAGUACCCUUUUCAAUCCCUUUGAAAAUUGAUUCUUAAAUAUUAUUCUUAAAAUUAGUCCACAAGUUUAUCUUACUCGAAAAAAGAUUAAAUUGUUCAAAAAAAUAAAAGUGUAAGGACUAGUUUUAACAGAUGGUAAACAUAGAAAAUUGCGUUAAAAGAAAUGGAGAAGGGAGGAAAACAGAGAGAGAAGCAAAAGAGAAUGCAAAAAAUAAGGAAAAAAAAAGAAGAAAAAAUAACAUAAAAGAAAAAAUGAAAUUUCUCAAAAUGAAAAAAUAUGGGGACCGAUAAUAGAAAUUAACCUAAAAUUUUUGUUUGUAAUGAUGAUUUAAUGUGCCACAUCAGUUUACCAUUUAUAUCGUUAAUGACAAUCAACGACGCAAUGACUAAAAUGUUACAGUGAGAUAACUUAAGUGACUAAAAUGUAACCUAAAGUAAACAAAAAUGACUAUUUUAGUUGUUUACCCAUAAUAUUACUUAUUUUAAUUACGGAAUGACAUUCAUAUAAUUUUUUAACCAAGUUAGUGACCGAUUGACUCAUACACCAACUUGAUCCGGAGUUUAAUAAUAGUAUAGAUAUACAACUGAUGGAACUAAUAGAGUGUGUAUAAUAAAAUUAAAAUAUAUACAAAUAUCAAAAUAAAAUUUUAGUUGAGUGGUAAAUUAAAUAUUUUAAAUAAUGCAAUUGGUGUGAGUUUGAAUCCCAUAAUAUCCAUAUUUUUAUCUCUUUUUUUACGUAAAAAGAUUAAAAUACCCUCAUAGUUUAAUUAAGAAUUGAUGCCCAACUAAUUCGUGACACAAACUCGACAAAAAAAUUAAAAGUAAUAUAGAUUUAAUUAAUUAUUAUCAAAAUUAACUCAAUAUAAAACAGUUAAAAAUCAGAAAAUAUCCGAAUUUAUAUUUAAAAAAAUAUGAAUAGAAAAAUCUAAGAUAAUUUCAAAAAAAAUUCCCACACAUGUACUUUAAUAUUUCCGAACACUGCCAAGCUUCAAUAGGCUAUGUAUACUAUUGUUUGUCAAAAGUAGAAAACGUGGGUGGAUUUUGCGUGAUCCUUUAAGAUAUGUAAGAGAUUGAGCAAUCUUACAAUUAUAUCAACAUUUAGUUAAAUUACGUGAUUAAUCUCUGUAUUAUGAAUUUAAUUCUUGUAUUUUAAUUUAUUUAAUUUUCAACUUUAAAAUUUUAGUUCUCAUCAAACCAUAAUUAUUACAUUCAUUAAGUUAAAUUUUGCUAUUUUCAAAAUUUAAUGCGAAAAACAUAUUACCAUAUAUGUAAUGCCAUGUCUUAUUAUUUUCAAAUAUUACUCACUAAAAAUUCAGUUAAUGGAUUAAUGACGGUCAUUUACGUCAAGAAUGAAAUUUUAAUUUUUAAAAAGUACAGGGAUUUAGAAUGAUCUAAUUGGAGAAUAUGGACUAAAUUUACAAUCGCACACAUAAUACAAGACUAAUAAUUGAAUUUAAACAAACGGAUUUAACUACUGUUUAUUGGGGUUAAGACUAGAAUUUUAAAAUUAAAAAAAAGUUUAAGAGACUAAAAUUCACCAAUUCAAAAAAUAUAAUGAUCAAAAUUAAUCAAAUUAAAAUGUAUGGGUUAAAUCUGUAAGUUUUACAAAGUAGAGGGACUAAUAACAAAAUUUAACCUUAAUUAAAGAAAUUAUUGUUCCUAGAGUGUGGGGGAAUAUAUAUAAUUGGGUAGACAGCAGGUCACAGUUUUCAUUUUUAGGCACCAAAAAUAAAAAUUUACAACUUUGGCACUCCUAAUUUAUCUUUUCCCUCAUCUCUGCUACUCACAUUCCAUUUCUUAUUUUAAUAUUGAAGUGGGAAUCUGGCGAUGGAUUAUUUCUAUUCACUCACAGCAACUUCAACGGUUGCAAUCGUUGCUUUUCCACUACUACUUUUCUCUUUUCUGUCGAUCUCAAGAAGAAACACAAACUCAAAGAAAACAGCACCAGAAGCAGUCGAUAUGUGUGAACUGUGAAGCACUUGGGAUAUCAAGUUCUAAAGCAACUUCAUUAGAAGUUUAUAUAACGUCUUCUUUUUUAUUUUAUUUUAUGAUUCCAUUAACUAAUUGGUAUUUUAAUUUUAUUAAAAAAUGAAUAGAAUUCAAUAAAUUUCUAAGGUACUAUACUCGUCAUGGAAUAAUACCAUAUGCAACUUUUAGUAUUUUAACUUUCUUGAAAAAAAAAAGUAGAAUUCAAUAAAUUUCAAAUAUUUCAGGGAAAAGUGGUUUGCCCAAGUAAUGUUAGUCAAUUUAAUGGUAAAGACAUGAAUGUCCCUUGCACGAUAUCAAAUCCACUGGACCCUUGAUCAGUCCAAUUCAAGGAGACGUAAAGUAUCGCACUACAUGUCAAAUCAAGACCAGCUCUUAACAACAUUUUGAUUGAUUGUUUUCAGAACAAGAAAAAUGGAAAAGAAUUGAUAAUGGAAAUGGAUUGAUCAUUGAUGUAUGAUGGGUGGGGACGGGGGAAAAGGGUACUUCACUUUACAUAAAAAAGAUCAUGAUCUUUGUUCAUCGCAAACAAAAUAUAGGCAAUAGAUUUAGCUAAUAAUAAAUUACAAUUUCUUAAAACAACUAUAAAUCCAACUCCCUCAACUUAAUUAAUUGGUAUGGAUUCAUUUUAUUCAACCCCAACCCCUUCAACCCUUGUGAUAAUUGUUUUUCCAUUAUUGCUAGUUUUUCUUUUCUUUUUUCUAUGGAUAUCAAAAUCUAACCCUACAAAUACAAACAAUGGGAAACUAGCAACAGAAGCGGGUGGAGCAUGGCCUAUUAUUGGCCAUCUCCGCCUCCUAAGAGGGCCACAACCACAUCACAUAAUGUUUGGGUUUUGACAACAAAACAAAGAGAAAAGAAGCAAAGAAAUGUAUGCAAAACAAAUUUGAACAAGAAGAAACUGAAAAAUGAAUCUGAUUAUCAUUUUAAAUUUUCAUUAAGUAAAAAACAUAUAGGUUACAAAGUUGUUACCUAAUGUGUAACCGCUCCCACUAAUUACUUGAUUAAAGUAAAGCUAAAAUUACACACAAAAUGUAGCUGACAUAUCAGCUAUUGUAUCACAUUGGAAAUCAUUCAAAUCAUCAACUAAUCUUUCUAGCUUUAAAUACAAAUUAGGUAAAAACUAAAGCUAGUUACAUAUAUAUGAACAAAAUGUUGCUGCUGUACUAGUUGAGCUUCAAUGCUUCUCUGCUGUUGCAUUGUAGGCCAAAGUUCAACACUCCUCCUUAGACUGUAUGCAACAAACACCAAUACUUCUUCUUAAGUUCUCAAAUCUUGUAGCACCGAGAGACUUAGUUAGUAUAUCAGCAAAUUGAUUCUCUAAGCUGCAAUGAAUCAAAUUAACUUCAUUUGAUUGUUCAGCCUCUCUAACAAAAUGAAAUUUUAUCUUAAAAUGCUUGGUUUUGACAUGAAAUACUGGAUUUUUGGCUAUGGCAACAGCUGACUGAUUGUCAACUCUAAUAUCAGUAGCUUCAGCUUGAUCUUCAUUCAAAUCACAUAAAAGUUUCCUAAGCCAAAUGGCUUGAUUAACAGCUGCAGCAGCUGCAAUGUACUCUGCUUCUUCUGCAGAUUGAGCAACAAUUUUUUGUUUUUUUGAACUCCAACAAAAGACCUUUGAGCCAAGAGUGAAGAAAUAACUAGAUGUUCUCUUCAUGUCAUCAAUGGAUCUUGCCCAAACACUAUCAGAAUACCCUAUCAACUUGAGUUCUUUUGCAUUCUCAAAUUUCACUCCAUAGCUCAAAAUCCCUUUCACAUAUCUAAGAACCCUUUUACCUGCUUUAAAAUGAACAACAUCACAGCAAUGCAUGAAUCUAGAAAGAAAACUAACAUCAAACAUAAUAUCAGGCCUAGUAGCUGUCAAGUAAAGCAGACAACCUACAAGGCUUCUAUACUUUUUCUCAUCAACUCUUUCAUGGUUGCCAUUGUUGGUUAGUUUCUCACCUUGAGCCACUGGUGUGCUAACUGUUUUACAAUUUGACAUACAAAAUUUGUUUAAGAUCUUCAAGGCAAAGGUCCGCUGACUUAUGAAGAUGGCAUGAUCAAUUUGAAUCACUUCCAUGACAAGAAAGUAAGUCAUUUCACCCAAGUCAGCCAUUUCAAAAACAUCUUGCAUCUGCACUUUGAACUCUUUAAUCAACUCUCUCUUGCUUCCAGUUAUCAACAAGUCUUCUACAUAGAGUGACACAAUCAAUAGGGUUUCAUUCUCUAACCUUAUUGUAUCUAACCUUGCAACAGGGGCAAAGGUUUCUUAGAAUUCAAUGCCAUAUUGUUGGCUAUAUCCCUUCACCACAAGUCUUGCCUUGUGUUUGUUUAGAAACCCAUCAGCAUUGUACUUGACCCUAAACACCCAUUUCACACCAAUAAUUCUCUUCUAUUGACCAGAUGUGUCCUCAAUAACAUAGGAGUUAUUAUUGAAAACAAGUGAAUAGCCUUUCUCUAUUAACUGACCAACACUAAGCAAAUUUUGGUCUAUAUCAAGUACAAAAAGGACAUCUGAAAUUGUUUUGUUACCUGAUUUUAUGUUGAUCACAACAUUGCCUCUUCCUUUGGCCUCAAUAAGGUUUCCAUCUCCAAUCCUAACUUUGGAAACAAAGCUUUUGUCAAGAUCUUUGAAUAACCCUUCAUCUGAUGACAUGUGAUGAGUGCAUCCACUGUCUACUAACCAGUCUCUUCUGACUUUGCUAGAAGUUGCAAAAUAGAAUGUAGUGAAAACAUGCUCCUCCCGAGCUUGAAUGUCCUCAGCAGCCUGAGCUUGAUUCUGUUGCUGAGUUUGUGCCCUUACUUUGUUCUUGCAAACUUUCUCAAUGUGAUCAAACUGCUUGCAGCUCCUACACUGAAUAUCAGGCUUGUGCCAACAGUACCUCUCUAAAUGUGUGGACUUUUUGUAGUGAAUGCAUGGUGGAAAUUUCUUCUUUCCUGCAUCCCUCUUUGGUCUCUCCCUCUUGUCAACAGAUGAUUUCUUUCUUUUGUAGCUCAAACUUAAGCUUUCUUUGACUUUUGCUUGAAAAGCUCUUUUAGGAUGCUCCUCCAGUUUGUUGGCCCUUCUUUGCUCUAAUGUAUACAGAGCAUUUAUCAAUUUAGAUAGUGAAAUGGUUGAUAAGUCUCUUAAGUCCUCCAGUGAGGAGAUUUUUGACUCAAAAUUUUCAGGAAGUGUUGUAAUGACCUUCUCAACAACUCUGCUCUCACUGAAAUCAUCUCCAAAGAGCCUAAUGUUAUUGACUGUGGUCAUUACCCUAUCAAAGUACUGCUUGAUUAUUUCAGACUCUUUCAUUUUCAAGUUCUCAAAGUCCCUCCUGAGGUUGAUCAGCUAUUGACUGGUCUUGUCUGACCCCAAAAACUCUUCCUUCAGCUUCUUUCAGGUUUGCUUUGGAGUGUCACAAGCCAUUAUUCGAGUGAAGAUCACAUCAGGACACUAUUUUGCAAGCAUGCUAUUGCUUUGUGCUUCUUGGCAUACUCUUCACUAUGCUGUCUGAUUUGUGCAAUGGUGGGAUUGGGCCUCAAUGCAGCUGGUUCUAUGUCAUUCUCAACCACAUUCCACAAGUCAUGUGCUUGGAGCUAAGUUUUCAUCUUCACUACCUAAAUGUGGUAGUUCUCACCAGAAAAGACAGAUGGUGGUGGUGGUGGUGUAAAGCUUAUGUUGUAGUAACAACAAAAAUAAUAGCUUCAGUUUCUUUUUCUUCAAGGUUCCUCACAAAACAGCUACCAACAACAAAGGCCCUCAAAGAUGACAGGCCUUGUAUACCAUUUGUAAGGGUUUUGACAGUAAAACAAAGAGAAACGAAGCAAAAAAUGUAUGCAAAAUAAAUUUGAACAAGAAGAAACUGAAAAAUGAAUUUGAUCAUCAUUUCAAAUUUUCAUUAAGUCAAAAACAUAUAGGUUACAAAGUUGUUACCUAAUGUGUAACUGCUCCCACUAAUUACUUGACUAAAGUAAAGCUAAAAUUACACACAAAAUGUAGCUGACAUAUCAACUAUUACAUCACAUUAGAAAUUAUUCAAAUCAUCAACUAAUCUUACUAACUUUAAAUACAAAUUACAUAAAAACUAAAUCUAGUUACAUAUGAACAAAAUGUUACUGCUGUACUGGUUGAGCUUCAAUGCUUCUUUGUUGUUGCAUUGCAGGCCAAAGUUUUACAAAUAAGCUUGGGUAACAUGGUAGAAAAAAAUAUGGAAGAACGUUCACUAUCAAGUUGGGUGUGCAUAGAGCUUUGGUGGUGAGUAGUUGGGAUAUUGCUAAAGAAUGUCUCACCAUAAAUGAUAAAGCAUUUGCCACACGUCCAAAGCUUGCAGCUUAGGAAAUUUUGGGUUAUAACAAUUCCGUGAUCGCCGUUGUGUCGUACGAACCUUUCUGGCGUCAAGUACACAAGUUUGCUACUGUUGUGCUCCUUUCUAAUCACCGGCUUGACUUGAUGUGUAGGAUCACCCCGAUUAAGCAACGAACAAGUAAAAAUAGUAGAAGAAAUUGAGAAGUUGAACACACAAAUUUAACGUGGAAAAACCCCUCCAAAGAGGAUAAAAAACCACGGGCAAAAAUAAUUUUACUAUAAUGGCAAAAGAACGAAGAGUACAAAAGAUGGAGAUAAAAACUAAACCCCAAAAAUCCGAAAACAAAGAACCCUCAAAACGUAAACACAAAAUUCUCUAAAUAUGUUAUGAGUUCUAAUCUAAUGGGUGUGUUUUUCUAAGAUUGUAAAAGAGCCUAUUUAUAGGCUAAAUUAGUAAGUCAAAUAAACUAUAUUGAUAAAUGCUAAAUUUAUUAUACUAAUAAAUACUAAAUCUUCUAGAAAUAAAACAUAUUUUUGUUUAACUUGACUUGCAAGCAAUCUCUUAGAAUUUGGGUCAUACAAUUCUAACAAUCUCCACCAUGACAUGAAUUCUUUCAACGCCAUCUUUGCCAAAACCCGCCACGGGCCUAUCUUGAACUAUGCAGGAAAUUAACUGAGUUGAAUCUAUGCUUAGAAGCUGGAAUACUUUUAGCCUUCGACUUGUGCACUGCCAAAUCAAAACUAACCCGGGUCUGAUUUUUACAAAUACAGUGCCCUAACUUUUCAAAACCUGCAUCCAAAAGAGAACCUCUCUUCAACAAAAUAGUCAUACCUUUUUCCCUCCUACGACCAAGUUGCCUCCGCUCAAAACGAGUUAACUUUGACUCUAUAACGGACGAGGGAUGUCCGAUUUCACCGGUCACUGUAGAACCUUCCAGAAUAUAAAGACUGCCAGUUCUUUUACCUUAUAACAAAACGAGAGCUCCACGAGAUAUUUUAAUGUCGUUAGACUCGAUGUUGAUUCUGCAUUCUUUCAAGUCUAAAAUACUUAAGGAGAUGAGAUUCUUUCGUAAAUCAGGUACAUACCUGACAUCUGAGAGUGUCCUAAUCGUCCCAUCAUGUAUCCUAAUUUUAACAGUACCAAUACCAAUUAUUUUACUAGAUGAAUCAGUUCCCUUGUGCACAACUCCACCUUCAAUUAAACUGUAUGUGGAGAACCAUUCUCUAUUGGGACAUAUAUGGAAAGAACAUCCUGAAUCUAGGAUCCACUCAGACGUAAGCUUGGAGUUAUCGCUCGUUGACACUAACAAGAAAUCAUCACCACCUUCAUCGACCAAAUUAGCAUCAAUUGCACCUUUCUCGUUAUUCUCAACAGCUCUUUUAUUUCGUAGUUUAUAACAAUCUGUUUUGACGUGACCUAACUUUUUACAAUAGCGACACCUUUUGUCUCGUUUCUUUGAUGCUACCAAAAUGGAAUCUUGCCUAUCUACUUUGCUAUUCAAACCAAAAUCAUUGUCGAGUUUGUCUCUACUCGACAAAUGACCCUUCACAUCUUCGAAUGAGAGUUUGUCUAUGCCAUAAAUCAGGGUCUCCCUGAAAGACUUGUAUGAAGAGGGUAAAUAGCACAAUAAUAGCAUAGCUUGAUCUUCAUCAUCAAUAUGAACCUUGACGUUCUUUAAAUCAUUUAAAAGAGUAAUGAAUUGGUUGAUGUGAUCUCUAAGAAGCUCACAUUCGUUCAUGGGAAACGUAAAUAGACGUUGUUUCAACUCUAAAUGGUUAGCCAGAGACUUAGUCGCAUAAAGAGUUUCUAACCUUUUCCACAAGGCGAAUGAGGUCUUCUCCAUCAAUACCAUCUGCAAUACUGUAUUCGCGAGGCACAACUAGAUUGCAGACAAUGCCUUUUCAUCAAGCUCUUCCCAUUUUGUUUGAUUUAGAUUCUCAGGAUUUUCCCUGUAAUAACCUUUUUCAAGACAUUUUGAACUAGAAUUGCCAUUAUCCGAACUUGUCACAGAUUGAAAUUUGUCUCACCAUCGAACUUCUUAAUUUCAAACCUUGUUGCCGUCAUAUCUAAAUGGGCUGAUAUAUGAAAAUUGAACUAUUUCUGAUACCACUUGUUAGAAUCGUCCCGAUUAAGCAACGAACAAGUAAAAAUAGUAGAAGAAAUUGAGAAGUUGAACACACAAAUUUAACGUGGAAAAACCCCUCCAAAGAGGAUAAAAAACCACGGGUAAAGAUAAUUUUACUAUAAUGGCAAAAUAACGAAGAGUACAAAAGAUGAAGAUAAAAACUAAACCCCAAAAACCCAAAAACAAAUAACCCUCAAAACGUAAACACAAAAUUCUCUAAACGUAUCAUGAGUUCUAAUCUAAUAGGUGUGUUUUCCUAAGAUUGUAAAAGAGCCUAUUUAUAGGCUAAAUUAGUAAGUCAAUUAAACUAUACUAAUAAAUGCUAAAUAUAUUAUACUCAUAAAUACUAAAUCUUCUAGAAAGAAAGUAUUUUUUUGUUUAACUUGACUUGAACUUGACUUGCAAGCAAUCUCUUAGAAUAUGGGUCACGCAAUUCUAACAUGAUGAAACAUGUACGGGAAUAUGAGAUAAAGACAUCUAUGUAAAAGUUAUAUCAGCUAUAGAACACUGAGAAAAGUAGUAAGAGUGAAAAAAUAUUGGUGGAUAUGAAGAGAAGGUUCAAAGGUGUUACUCUUAACAUGAUUUUAAGAGUUAUUUUAGGGAAGCGAAUACCGAAUUCAUACGAAAGAGGUGAAACCCUAAAAUGGAAUAAGUCAAUGGAUAACUUUUUUGAGCUAGGUGGGAAGUUUGUAUUAUCAGAUACACUGCCGUUUUUGAGAUGGUUAGACAUUGGUGGAGAGGAGAAGCUCAUGAAGAAGACGAGAAAAGAAUUAGACUAGGUUGUCGAGGGAUGGCUACGAGAGCACAAGGAAAAGAGAGCUGAAAAUGAUGUGAAUAGUGAUGAAGAUUUCAUGAGAGUAAUGUUGUCUAUUCUAUGUGAUAUGGAAAAGCAUGAUUUUGAUAUAAUCAACAAAGCCACAAGUCUUGUAUGGGCAAAUCUCCUUACCGCAAUCUUCAUUAGAACUAUGUUCAAAUUACACUUUUAAUGCCAUAAGGAAGUUAUGAUGUUGAAUAUUAAUUGUUGGUUUCAGGCUCUUAUCUUAGCGGCAGAAGAUAUCUCAUCAAUCACACUAAUGUGGGCUUUGUCUUUGUUACUUUAUAAUAGUGGUGCAACGAGAAAAGUACAACAUGAGCUAAAACAAUAGGAGCUAAACAUUCAUAUUGGUAAACAUAGAUUGUUAGUCAUAGAAUCAGACACCAAAAACUUAGUCUACCUUCUAUCAAUCAUUAAAAAAACAUUACGCUUAUAUCCUGCUAUUCUACUUUCGGGUAUCCAUAAAGCCAUUGAAGAUUGUACGAUUAAUGGUUUUUUUGUUUCAGCUGGUACUUAGCUUAUUUUCAAUCUUCAAAAGAUUCAUCGUCAUCCACUUGUAUGGGAAAACUCUUUGAAUUUUCCACUCGAAAGAUUUAUGACUACCCAUAGAAACAUUGAUGUGAAGGGACAAAAUUUUGAACUAAUUCCAUUUGGUAGUGGUAAAAGAAUGUGCCUUGGAAUUUCAUUUGCACUCCAAGUUUUAGAGCUUAUGCUAGGUAAUUUGCUACAUUAGUUUGAGUUUGGAACUCCAUCAAACGAUCCAGUCAAUAUGUCUGAAGCAGCCAGUUUGUCGAGUCCUAAAGCAACUCUAUUAGAAGUUCAUAUAACUCAUCGUAUUCCUACUUAUGUUUACCAAUAAUUAUCAUAAUUAAUUUUUUAGUAUUAUUACUAUUUAUAUAUUUUUUGUGGAUAUCAAAAUUGUUAGUAUAUUGAUUAUUUAUCGAACUAUUAUUAUAUAAACAAUCAAAAAUAAAUAUUUGGGCUGCUUGGUGCUAUUGGUGCAAUUGAAUUUGCUCAUUUAAUAUUUUUAUUUAAUUAUUUUUUUAUGAAUAAAUAAUUUUAUUCAAAAUAUGCAUUUCAAUAGUUAUGUUGAAAGAAUAUCAACGUACCAAAGCAUCUUAGAACGAAUGCCAAUUGAAACCUUAUCCCUGUAUUGGUGGAUAUCAACGUACUACUAAAGAAUUAAGUUGGAGCUGUUUACUAGGUACUUCUAAGAAAAUUUGAGAGAGUUCAUUUCAUAAAGAUACAAUUUUAGUUAAAUGAUAAAUUUAAAGUUGUUAUGCAUUCACUACACCAAAACAGGUUUUUAGCGGCGUUUUUUAGGCCUUUAGCGGCGCUUUUUAACGCCACUAAAGAUAUUUGCGGCGCUUCUUCAAGCGCCGGAAAAAAUGCCGCUAACGAAAACGUCGCAAAUGUUUGCAGCGUUUACAAACAAAAACGCCGUUAAAGACCAUGUUCUUUAGCGGCGCUUAGAAAAAAACGCCGCUAAAGAUCAUGUUCUUUAGCGGCGCUUAGAAAAAAACGCCGCUAAAGAACAUGUUCUUUAGCGGCGUUUGUAAAAAAAUGCAACUAAAGACCAUGUUCUUUAGCGGCGCUUAGGAAAAAACGCCGCUAAAGAACAUGUUCUUUAGCGGCGCUUAAGGGAAAACGCCGCUAAAGAUCAUGUUCUUUAGCGGCGUUUUUUUUCUAAUCGCCGCUAAAGAACAUGUUCUUUAGUGGCGCUUUUAUACAAAAACGCCACUAUUUUGGGGAUUUUUUUAUAUUAAAAUUUUCAUUUUUUCUGCCCUCCUGUAGCAAAAAUUCAAAAGCAACAUUUCAAAAGCAACCAAUAGCAAUAAAUUUAUAUAAUAUUUCAACAUAAGGGAAUAAAAUAAUAUUAAUAUCAAUAAAUAAAAGUGAAUUCAUAUUGUUUUUGCAAAAAAUGUUAAAUGUUAAAUGUUAAAAUGAUAAAAAUAUUUAUGUCAUACACUAUGAAGGUGGAAGUUGCGACUUAAACAUCUUCAUCAUAAUCUGAAGCUGCUGCUGAAGUUCGUCGUACUUUUUGCUCUACUCUGCUUCUCUUGCUGCAGCCUCCGCUUCCCUCACUGCAGUCGCUGCUUCCCUCGCUUCCGCCUCUGCUUUAAGUUGUAGCUGGAGUUCUUCAUAUUUCCUUUGAACCUCAAUUGUAGUCGCUUGCAUCUGAGCCAUUUGGUCUUUUAACCUCUGAACUUCAGCUUGAGCCUGACUCCCCGAAGCCAUGUAUUGGUGGGAGCUGGAUCCAAAAUAUUGGGUUGGGCUAACAAAAGAUCCUUGAAAUCGAACCCGACCAUACCUUUCAGGACCCAAAACUUCAGUAAUAAUCCGAUUAUCAAUAUCUUCAAGAUGAACCUAACUAUCACUAGAAGCAAUUGCUUCGUACUCCGCCUUUUUAUCAUUUAGUUUUUCCUAAUAAAUAUAUCACAUAGUUAGGAACACAAUAUUAUAUAUUGAAAAACAUAUGCAACAUAACAAUAGUCGCAUUAACUGCAAUGAAUUAAACCAUUAGAAAAUAAACACUAUAAAUAACUAAAAUAAGUCAAAUCGUAUUAAGUAAACGUACCAUUAUUUCAGCAGCUUCAGGAGUCAUGGGAGAUCCAUCUUUCUUCCUAUGUGUAAUUUCAAAAAGUUGAAGGCGUCCAACUUUUUGACCGGACGACCGUUCCUACAAUAUAGUAGUAUAAAUAUUAUUUAAUAGAAAGUUAUACAUAUUCGACAAUAUUAAAAAAUUUAAAAAUACCUCCGCCUCAGCUACACAUGCGAAACUUCUCGACCCGGCUGUGUGGGUGAAUUUUUGUUUCUGCCUGCUGCUUAUUUCAACUUGUUCACGAUCCUACGUUAUGAAAUUUUUUAGUACGUAAAUAGAAAAUACUAUAAACCAAAAUAAUUACAAUAGUUUAGAAGGACGUCAGACCUCGCCUUUAUUCGAAUGCCAAAAUCUAACCGCAUCUUCCCAUUGGUACCUCAACAUACCCGGCGGGACAUUUUGCAAUUUCUUAUCGAGGGUUGUUUUUGUCUUAUAAUAAUUUUUCUUCAAAGUACUUUUGUUGUCUCUCCAUCUUUUUCCCAAUGCCUUCUUUACAUAAGCAUCCGAGACCUCUAAAGCAAACCUCGCCUGCAAAAAACAAAAAACACAAGUUAAUAAAAUAAAUAUAAAUGAAACUAUUUCCCAAGCAUUAUAGAUGACAUUAACAUUUUGUUACCUUAAUAUUAUCGAGGGCUUGGUUUUUGUUGCUAUCGGGCAUUUGAUGCCAUGACUCGUAGUUUAUAGGUAACAUAUUCGGAUUUCGUGCUAAAAUGCCCAUGUAUCCAGCUAAAAGUCGAGCUUCUGAUCCAACAGGCUGACCAAAACUGUUUCGUCCAACUUUGACACGCUCGACUGAAUCUAACUCGUACAACUCUCUAAGUAGCGUACGUCCUCGACCUCUGCGCGUCCCACCAUUUUCAGCUACAAAUGGUAUAUUAUAAUAUAAGAAUUUGAAAAAUAAAUCAACUAUAACAGAAACACGCAUGUAAAUUAAAUGAAAAAUUACUUUGAACUUCUGUAGGAUCCUCAGCUGUAAUCGGAACAUUUGAAGAUCCAACUGCUGUCUGUUGUUCAGUACUAUUAGUUUCUGUCGAGUUUGGAUUAUUUUGAACAAUGCUUCCCCUUAGAAUUUUUCUUCUAGGCAUUUUAUCUACAAUACACAUAAAAUAGUUAAUAACUUAAUAGCUAAUUACAACAAUAACAGCACAUAUAAAACAGUUGAAACAUAUAAUAAGACGAAGAUUUAAAUUAUGAUAUUAUAUAUAAUUAAACAAUCGUAAAAUCUUACUACAUCAUUAUUCGUAAAUAUCUUCAUCGGUAUCCUGACGAACCCAUCCAAAUUGUGCACUAGUACUAGGGAUAUUAUCGUUUAAGUUUAGUUCUGGAAAGGGUAAAGUUACUGAUCUAUCUUCGAUGUUAUCUCUACUUCCACUGCCCAUAUCAAACAAGUCUCUAGGGAUGUUACGGAGUACAACGUACCAACCCUCAUCAGUUGGAUCUUUUGAGUAAAAAACUUGUUUGACUUGAGAUGAGAAUACAUACGGCUCAUCUAUCAGUUGUUGUCCUGUGUGAAUCAAUCGGUCAAAGUUCACCAUUGUAAAACCAAAUUGAUCUUGCUUAAUUCCACGAGCUGUAUUAACAUCGGCCCAAUCACCACGAAAUAAGACAACUUUCCAUUUGCCGUAGUAAUCCAACUCAAUUAUGUCAGUAAGUUGUCCGAAAUAUUCCACAUUUCCCUCGACAGGAUUAUUGUCCCUAGCACUAGCAUAACUCGUAAUUGCAGAAUUGACAACAAUUCCACAAUUUUGCGUUCUCCUCAACCUCUCGCGAUAUUUUGUAUGAAAUCUGAAUCCGUUGAUGAGGAACGCACUAUAUCUUUUAACCACUCGAUUUGGACCUUGGGAGAGCCAUUUAACAUCGUCGUCCGAAAUAAUUAAUGUUAUCUUCAAUACUCAAUUUUGAAUCAUAUAUGAAGUUUUAAAAUUAACUAUAAAGAUUCAUAAAACAAUUAUAUGGGGCGGGUGACAGUUUAUGAACAAUCUUUUAAGUGAGAUUAUUCAGCCGUCCAUCAAUGAACUUAGUCACUCCCUUUAUCCAACUUUUAACCAAAGGAACAUGUACAUGUUAAACUUCUUUAAUUGUAGGCUUCUUUUAGUUAUAAUCGACAUCAGAUUCAGUCGUUUUGAGGCUCUUCCAAGUUGGUUCAUUCCUAGGCUUUUAACAAAAUCUAACUUUUUGAAACCCCAUAUUGUACAUGAUUCAUCAUUUUCUUCAUCCCUUGCCAACAUUGUUUCCAAAAGAAAACAAACCAGAAAAAGCAAAAUCUGCUAAAGAACAGAACAAUAUCAGGUUGUUUAAUGUAUUAAAGGCAAACUAGAUUCCCCAAUUUGGUAAGAAAGGCAUAUAUUCUCGAUAACACAAUAACCAAGACUACAUAUAUACUGACAUAUAAAACAGUUUUGCUUAUUGUCCUAGUUGCCACAUAUGUUUAAAAGGAACCCAGAUUAAACUCUAGAAUCCACAGCCAUAAAGAUGAUAAUACAUUAGUUACCCAUUAGUUACCCACUAGUUACCCAUAGUUUGAGAUAUUCAAAUUUAGUUACCCAUUAGUUACCCAAAUACUACCAUUAGUUACCCUUUUAUGCUUCUCCAAAAAUCGCUGUAAUGGAGAAACAGCAGGCUAAGUUGUGCAAAACAUAACUCAAACCAACUAAAGGAGCAUUUGUCAUUGGCGAAAGCACUUUUUUUAUAGCUUCAACAAAUCAUAUCCGACUUUCCCAAAAUCGGAAGGUCUGUCCCUGUCUUCAAUCUUAACAAUUUCAUUUUCAUGGCCACGCCAUUGAUGCUCCUAGUUUUAUUAUUGGCUGUGUUUUGUAUUCGGGCAACCCCUAAAUAGACAAAAUUUUACCCCGAACAAACCCUUCUAUUUAAAUUGCUAAAUAAACAAUUCACAAGUUCCCCAAAUUCCCAAACAAGAAUGGUGUUUUAACCUAAACCGCAAACCCUAAAAUUUAAUUUUUUUUCUAAGCCCCAAAUUCGAAAAACACAAUGCACCCAAAACCCCAAAUCAAGACGAUGUUCUUCAGAAGGAUUAAACGCAUACCUUUUAACCAGAUAUUCUGCAACUACUGUCAAGAAUGGCGCAAUCGUUGCUUCCUCUUUGAUGAUUUCUGAUUUCUCCUCCCCUUUCUUCCUUAGAAUAUUUUCUUAGGUUUUUUCCCCUUCCCAAUCGGCGUUUUCACUUGCAGAAUAUUUUCUUUCUGUCUUUGUCGACGAGUGAGUAAAAAUGCUAAGUUAAAAGCCAUCUGCAGAAACGGCAUCGUUGAGAAAAAAUUUUAAAACACCUUUGCGGCGUUUAUAGACCAAACGCCACAAAAAAUUAAACCUUUUAACAGAAACGGCGCCGUUUUCUUAGUCUGAAAUUGCAUUUUUUGUGGCGUUUAAUAAAAACCGCCACGUAUACUUAAGCCAAACGUUGACGUUUUCAAUAAAUUAUUCUAAAAUUUUUCCAAGUUAAAAAUCUGUUCCGGAAACGACGUCGUUUAGCGAUUAUAUUAACACCGUUUUGUGGCGUUUUUGGUAAAAACGCCACUAAAUAUUACAGCUGUGAACAGAAACAACACCGUUUUCGUGGUCUGGAAUUGCAUUUUUUGUGGCGUUUUUAGAAAAACGCCACUAAAUAUUACAGCUGUGAACAGAAACGACACCGUUUUCGUGGUCUGGAAUUGCAUUAUUUGUGGCAUUUUCUUAAAAACGCCACUAAAAGUUUAACUAUUCAUUCGAAAACGGCGCCGUUUUGAAUUUUUUUAUUUUUUUAUUUCAUUUCUUAUGUAUUUGGUCAUAUAUAUAUAUAUCCAAAAUAAAUAAUUAUACCUAAAUAUAUAACCAUCCAUAUAAUAUAUAUCAAUAUAUUUUUUAACUUAUUUAUGAAUUCUAUUUAAAAUAAUUUUUAAAUAUAUCAAUUGGUACUUUAGAUUGAUUUUUUAAAAUAUUAUUUAAAUAAAUUAAUCUAAACUAACCUAAAAUCCUUAUUUGACCCCUAAACCCUAAAUCUUUAACCCCUAGAUUGCAACUUGUAACCCCUAAACCCCUAGCUAACUCUUACAUCCCAAACCCUAAAUCUGUACCCCCUAAUCCUUAAAAUAGCACGACCUCUUUUACGACCUCUUUUACAGUUAUAUAUAUAAGAACAUAUUUAAAAUAUAAUUUGUCAAUACUAAUUAAUCUAAACCCUAGCUAAACCCUAAAUCCUUAAUCAACUCCUAAUAACCCCUAAACAUUAUAUCUCAGCCCUUACACCAUAUCCCUAAAUCCAAUAUUAUAUAUAUACUCUUGAUCAAUUAUAAUAAUAACCUUAAAAUAGUAACCCCUAAACCGACUUAAAAUCUUAAAUUAAUAAUAUCAUAUAUAUACCCUUAAAACCUAAAACCCUAUAUUAACUAUAGUGAUACGCUUAAUUAAAUAUUUUAAAUUUAAAUUAAUACUUACUAUCUCUUUUAAUUACGAUAAUAAUUUCAAAUUUUUAAUAUAUAAAUUAAAACUUUAAAUAAUACUUUAAAAUUUAAAUUAUUUUAAAUAAUACUAUUUUAAUUUUUCCAUGUGUUUUAUUUCAAAUUAUUUAUACCUGUUAUUUUUUAUUGAAGAUUUUAAAUAUUCUAUUAGAAAUAUGUUUAAUUUGAUUCAAAUAAUAUAAAUAAUAGUUCAAUUAAGAUAAUUUUUUUUGCGGCGCAUAAACAAAAACGCCUCUAAAACACCUAGAUUAGCGGCGCUUUACAAAAACGCCACUAAUGCCCCCCCAAAGGACACAAAACGGCACCGUCUGGGAGUAUUAUUUGCGACAUUUUUUAUAAGCGCUGCUAAUGUUCACUCUUUAGCGGCGCUUUACAAUAAACGCCACUAAGUCCCCCCCAAAGGCCACAAAACGGCACCGUCUGGGUGUAUUAUUUGCGGCGUUAUCUAUAAACGCCACUAAUGCUCACUCUUUAGCGGCGCUUCGCAAUAAACGCCACUAAGUCCCCCCCAAAGGCCACAAAACGGCACCGUCUGGGUGUAUUAUUUGCGGCGUUAUUUAUAAACGCCGCUAAUGCUCACUCUUUAGCGGCGCUUUACAAUAAAUGCCACUAAGUCCCCCCAAAGGCCACAAAACGGCACCGUCUGGGUGUAUUAUUUGCGGCGUAAUCUAUAAACGCCACUAAUGCUCACUCUUUAGCGGCGCUUUACAAUAAACGCCACUAAGUCCCCCCCAAAGGCCACAAAACGGCACCGUCUGGGUGUAUUAUUUGCGGCGUUAUCUAUAAACGCCACUAAUGCUCACUCUUUAGCGGCGCUUUUCCUUAAACGCCACUAAUGCUCACUCUUUAGCGGCGCUUUUAAUUAAACGCCGCUAUUGCUCACUCUUUAGCGGCGCUUUUGCUCCAAACGCCGCUAAAAGUGCCGCUAAAAGCUUGUUUUGGUGUAGUGAUUCACCACUUCUCGAUCUACUCCUUACGAAAGCUCUACCUAUUAGUUGAACAUAUCUUUCGGGAACAUUCCUCGACCUAGUAAUCAUAUUAAUUUAUGUGAAUUCCACUCAUUAAUUGUCACUACUCAUUCUAAGAAGAUAGCGAAAGAAUUGGACCAAGUUGUGCAGGGAUGGUUACGAGAGCACAAACAGAAGAGAGUUGAAAAUAAGGCAAAUGGUGCGGAAGAUUUCAUGGGAGUAAUGUUGUCUAUUCUUAGUGAUGAUGAGGAACACCAUGCUGAUACAAUCAACAAAACCACGUGUCUCGUACGUGCGUCUCUUAACCAUUUUGGUCAAGAUUGCUAUUACUAACAUACGUAAGUUGGAAAUGUUAUUAUUUUAUUGUUGAUCUUUUUAUGGUAUAUGAUCUAACAUGACAUUGUCUUAGGUGCAGAGGAUACUACAUCGAUCACAUUGAAAUGGACCUUAUCUCUACUACUUAGUAAUCGUGACAAAUUGAGUAAAGUCCAACAAGAGCUAGAUGUCCACGUUGGUAAGGAUAGACUACUAGUGACUGAAUUAGACACAAAAAACUUAGUCUACCUUUAAUCCAUCAUUAAGGAAACUUUAUGUCUCUACCCUUCUAUUCCGCUCCCCCUAAUCUAUGAAGCCAUUGAAGACUGCACGGUUAAUGGAUACCAUGUUUCAACUGGUACUUGGCUUAUUAUGAAUCUUCAUAAGAUUCAUCAUGAUCCACUUAUAUAGACAAACUCUUUUUAAUUUCAACUUGAAAGAUUUAUGAAUACCCACAAAGACAUUGGUAUAAGGGGACAAAAUUUUGAACUUGUUCCAUUUGGAAGUGGUAGAAGAAUAUGCCCUAGAGUUUCAUUUACACUUCAGAUUUUGUCAUUUACACUAGCUAAUGUGUUGCAUUGGUUUGAGCUUAAGACUCCAUCAAACAAAGCUGUCGAUAUGCGUAAAGCACUUGGGAUAUCGAGUUCUAAAGCAACUUCAUUAGAAGUUUAUAUAACCCCUCGUCUUCUUUUUUUUUUAAUUUAUGAUUCCAUUAACUAAUUGGCAUUCUAAUUUUAUUAUAAAAAGAGUAGAAUUCAAUCAAUUUCUAAGGUUACUUGUCAUGUAAUAAUACCAUAUGCAACUUUUGGUAUAACAACCUAAUUUUCAGUGGUGUCAGAAAUAGUGAUUCAAGAUCACUAAAUCUGACUAGUGAGUUUUAAAAUUUAAUGAAUAAAUACAUAUGAGUCAAGUGUGAUUAUAGAAGAAUUUUGGAUUAGUAAAUUUUGUGAUUUAAAAACAAAUUAAUAAGUAAAUUUGGUCUAAAAUGAGGUAUCAAAACCUCGAACUCAUAAAUCGAGCCAUAAAUAUUUUUAGAAAUAUUUAUAGAGUGUUACUGAGUUGGUGUUAAAGUUUUGUUAGAAAAUUCUAACGUUUGGAUGGUCAAUUAAUUAAAAAGAACUAAAUUGAGAAUAGUGAAAAAUUUGUUAAAUUAUGAUUAAAUAGCUUAAGUGACUAAUAGGGAGGGAUUUAAAAGGCAAUUAGGCCCAAAUUAUAUGGGCUGGAUGGUUUGGGCAAGAAAAUCAGGAAGAAAAUAAGGAGAAACAAGGGAAAAAUUAGAAAUUUUGCAAAUUAAACAUAUAAAACAAAGACAAAAUUGAAAAAUCUAGAGAUUUCUUCAUAAUUCAUCAGCAAAAAUGCCAUAGGAGGUCUGAAACAGUCUGUUUUCUCAUAUUUUUAUACCAUGUGAGUUCAAUUCUUGCUUUUUCUUUGAAUUUUUUUAUGUUUUGUGACUUUUACAACUAGGUCCAACUAUUUAAUUCAUUAGUUUUUGAUUCCAUGGGUGAUUUUGUAAGUUACCAUGAAUAAGUGCUGGAAUUUUAUGAUUAAUUAUAAUAUAUUUGAAGCUUUAAUUUCAUUAUAUUUUGAUUUUAUUAAGUGAUUUUAGUAGAAAAUGAUUUUUAUGACCUAAUUGUGAAAAACCUAGGAAUUGGGGUGUUGUAUUGAAAUUAUGAAUAUCAAAGGCUGUAAUAUAGCCUAAAAUUAUUAGAUAAAGUGUUAUUUGAGGAAAAAAUUGUUCAAUUGAAAUGUUAAUUGAGUAGAGACUAAAUUGUAAAAAUUAUAAAUUUUGGAGUAAAAGUGUAAUUUCAAAAAUUAAAGGGCAUAAAUUGCGAAGUGAAUUAGUAUUGAAUUAUAUGCUAAUGAAUGGAAAAAUUUAUAUUAUAGAUCGAGAAUCUGAAGAUAAACAAGGAAAAGAAAAAGUCGUUGAUUAGUCCCUGAAAUAUUACAAUUCCUACAAAUUGGCCUAGGUAAGUUCGUACGGCUGAACGUUUAUGAUUAAUUGUUAAUGUGGUAAUGACAUAAUAUAUUAAUUCGUGUAUUGUUGUUGAAUUAUUAUUGUAAAAAUGUGAAAAUCAAAUUGUAAGUUCAAAUUAAGGGAUACGCAGGAUUGAGUAUGUACGUUUAGUAACCAGCGAUGAAUUAGCGAAUAAGUCCAUGGUGGAUCCAUGGAAAAGUGUGGAAUGUAGGUGUGGUAUUUCAGUAAAGUAAACCAUAUUGAGUUGUGAAAUGUAGGUAUGGUAUUUCAGUUAAGAUAACCGUACUGAGUCGAGAAAAGUAGGUAUGGUAUUUCAGUGAAGAAAGCCAUACUGAGUUAUAGCAUUGUAAAAGAUUCAAGCGAAUCGUGGCAUCGGGCAAAUGAUGUACUCAAAUCCGUAAGGCAAUCCUUAAUUAGACAAGUAUUUGUAAGUGCAAUUGAAGCUAAAUGUUGGAAUAUAAGUUUAUAUCUGAUAUUGAGCUCGAUUGAGUAAAUUCAUUGUUUGAGAUUGCGGUUGGCAGGAAAUGUUGUAUUAUACUUGUUUAUUAUAACUGGUAGUGAAAUUUUGGUAAGAUUUUAUUAUGAGCCUAUGAACUUACUAAGCUUUCUGUAAACUUACUUGUGUGUGUUUAUUAUUUCUUGUAGAUUGAUGUAUAUAUAUGUUCGGAGGAUCGGAUCUACAUCAAGGAUCACACUAUCCAGAUUUACUCCGGUAGAUUUUGUAAAACAACUUUUUGAUUUAUAUGGCAUGUGAAGGGGUUGAAGUAAUAAAAUAAUAGUAUGAAUGAUUAAGUAUGCAAAGUAAAUCUGAAUGUGAUGGUUGUGUUAGAUAUUGAAAUAUACAUGUUUUAGCUUGAAAUGGUUGAUAGGUUGGACUUUAUUAGUAUAUAAAUGUGUUUUUGUGCAAGAGGAUAGUAUGAGGGUGAGAAAAGUGGACUUAAAUGGUCCGAUUUUGUGUGUUUGAUUGUGUUUAAGUCCGAUAAUGCCUCGUACCCUGUUUCGGCAUCGGACACGGGUAAGGGGUGUUAAAUUUGGUAUUUUAACUUUCUUUAAAAAAAAAAGGUAAAAUUCAAUAAAUUUCAAAUAUUUCAUUCUUCUGAUUAAAUUUUAUCAUUGUUUCAUGGAAACUAAUUCUUUUAAAGUUCGUGAUAGCCAUUCCAAUAAUAUUCUCUCAAAAAUUUAAACUUAAAAUUUUCAUUUGGAAGUGUAUUAUGUUUUAUCAGGUUUUCUUUUUUGGUCCUUUAUUGCUGAGUUUAAUAGAGUAUUGAUUGCUUUAGUCUCGAAUAUUGAUCGACCACAGUGCCCUUUUCAAUUUCGGUCAAUUAAUUUGUGCAACAUUCUAAAUUAUUGUGAGUCAUAUUAGAUCGUUCUUGAAUAAUUGGAUUUUUUGAUCUAGUGUAUCUUUACAUAAUGUAAAAAUGGUAAAUGCAUAAUAAAAACUUUUAAUGAAUGGUCAAAACAAACAAAAGAGAAGUAGAUUGCACGAACUGCAAUAUGCUAUAAAUGUAUGUUUUUGUGAUGGCAACAUAAGAUUAAUUUAAUUUAUUUGUAUUAUUGAUGAGACAUAUAAUUAUUGAUGAGAAAUAUAACUAUCUGUGAUGCAUUGUUUAGGCAAUAAAUAGGUUGCAUUGUGGUACAUAUGUGGUAUGCAUUUUGAUUGCUUUUGUAGGAGUGUUUAUUGAUAUUUUACUUUGUAUUUUUAUAUUUUUGUGGUACGGAUUUUAUUGGAGAAUAAUCAUUGUUGGAAGUGAGAUUGUUUGAAGUGAAUGAUUGUAAUAUUAAGAGUAUCUUAUUAGGACUGCAAUUAUCCAUUGUAUAAUAGUAAGCUUGGACUUUAGCAAUAGGGUUUUAAAUCCAUUUUUAAAUAAAAACAUUUACUGAUUAAGGUUUUGCAGAGAUAAAUCCAAACUGUGUUAACAAACAUCACGAUUUGGGCGUUUGAUUAAUAAUGGUAAAGAAAAUUAAUUAGUUAUAUGUUUGAAGACAUUUGACUUCAGUUUGAGUUGAUUGAAAGUGUAGGUAUCUUCUUGGAAGCGUAUUAUCAUUGGGACUCUUUCUAAACCUCAUAACAUCAACUUAUGAUAUCAACUUGAUCAAAAAUUUAAAUAAUAUAAAUUUGAUUAAUAAUAAUCAAAAUUAACUCAAUAAAAACCAAGAAAAUAUCCGAAAAAUCCAAGAUAAUUUCAAGAAAAAUCCCACGCAUGUGGAUACGAUGUUUUAAAGUCCCAAAACUGAAAAUUUUGGGCACUGAAAAUAAAAAAUUUGCAACUUAUGGUCACUCAUUUUAUCUUUUUAAUUUCUUUUAAUUUUUUAUUUUUUAAGGAUCAAUUUUAAUUUUUUUUUCAGUAAAGGAGAAAAACUGAAAAUUUAGAGGAAAAUUCAGGUUAGAAUUUCCUUUAUUUUUUCUUUUUAGAAUUAAUUUCAGUUUUUUUCCUCAAUAAAAUGGAAGGGAAAAGCCUAAGAUUUUAUAGGGAAUUACCUAGGUUUAAUAGAAAAAGAUACUUUAGUUUUUACUGGAAAAACUAAUUUAUCUUUUUUAUUUUUUUAGAAUUAAUUUUAUUUUAUUUUCCAAUAAAAGGGAAACACCUAGAGCUUUAUAGGAAAUUAUUUGAGUUCUUAUUAAAGUUGGGCGACUAAAAAUGAGUAUGUUUAAUGGAAAAUUAAUGGUGGGUGACUAAAAUGAUAUAAAAGUAUGUAACGACAGUACCUAAAUUGCAAACUUUUAAAUUUUGGUGCCCAAAAUGAAUACUUAUAAAAGUUGAGUGACUAACUGAGUAUAUUUAAUGACAAAUUAACAGUGGGUGACUAAAAUGAUAAAAAAAGUAUGUAACGAUAGUGACUAAAAUGAUAAAAGUAUAUAACGACAGUACUUAAAUUGUAAACUUUCAAAUUUGGUGCCCAAAAAGAAUACCUAUAAAAGUGAGUGACCAACUGUGUGGUUUACCCUUUUCUUUAUUUUGCAUAUCUAUUUUAUUGUCUUUAUUUGGGAUUUGUAAUUGUUUUUUAAUAAUAUUCGUCUUGAAGGUUUAAACUCGUGUUUUCUUUCUUAAUAGUAUAACGUAUCUUACUACUACACCUAAUACUUGUUAGUGGUGAAAUGAAAAAAUAAAUAUGAAAAUUAUAUAUAUUUUUAAAUCAAUCCAUCAAAUAUAAACUUUAUUAUAAGAUAAACAUAAAAUGAUUUAUUUUAAAUAAUUUAUUGUAUACUAACAAAAUUUACUUGUACCACAUCAUUUGCAAUUUUAAACUUAAAAGCUUAAAAAAAAACACAAACACACACCAAAAAAAAAAAAAAAACAGAACACUUGUUUGAAUGCAAUUGGAUGAAGAAGUUGACAAUGUACGAGCUGCUAUGACAUGCACAUUCCUUGUCCAACAACUCAAACUCCCUUAUCUCUGCUACUCACCUUCCAUUUCAUAUCUUAAUCUUAAAGUGGGAAUCUGGCGAUGGAUUAUCUCCAUUCACUCACAGCAACUUCAACUGCUGCAAUCAUUGCUUUUCCACUACUUUUUCUUUUCUCUUUUCUAUGGAUCUCAAGAAGAAACACAAACUCGAAGAAAACAGCACCAGAAGCUGGUAUUAUUGGUCAUCUCCGCCUCUUAGGAGGAUCACAACCACCUCACAUAAGCUUGGCUAACAUGGCUGACAAAUAUGGAAGAAUCUUCAGUAUCAAGUUGGGUGUGCAUAGAGCUUUGGUGGUGAGCAAUUGGGAGAUUGCUAAAGAAUGUCUCACCAUAAAUGAUAAAGCAUUCGCCUCUCGUCCAAUGCUUGCAUGCUCGGAAAUUAUGGGUUACAACGGUGCCAUGAUUGGCUUUGCGCCAUAUGGACCUUAUUGGCGUCAAGUGCGUAAGAUUGUCAUUAUUGAGCUCCUCUCAAAUCACCGACUUGAAUUGCUUAAACCUCUGAGGGAAUCCGAGAUAAAGACAUCUCUGCAACAGUUAUACCAGCUGUGGAACAAGAAGAAAAGUACUAACUCCGAUAAAGUAUUGGUGGAGAUGAAGGGAUGGUUCAAAGAAGUUACUCUGAAUGUUAUUAUGAGGAUGAUUGUAGGGAAGCGACUUCCAAAUUCCAGUGAAGGAGGUGAAAACUUGAAAAGGAAGAAAUAUUUGGAUGACUUCUUUGAACUGAGUGGAAAGUUCCUAAUAUCAGAUGCGUUGCCGUUUUUAAGAUGGUUGGACAUAGGUGGAGACAUGAAGUGCAUGAAGAAGACAGCGAAAGAAUUGGACCAAGUUGUGCAGGGAUGGCUACGAGAGCACAAGCAGAAGAGAGCUGAAAAUAAGGCAAAUAGUGAGGAAGAUUUCAUGGGAGUGAUGCUGUCUAUUCUCAGUGAUGCGGAGGAACUCCAUGUUGAUACAAUCAAUAAAGCCAUCAGUCUCGUACGUGCAUCUCUCUUAACCAAACUGAUUGCCAUUAAUAUCAUACAGAAGUUGGAAAUGCUAUUAAUUCAUUGUUGAUUGCCAUUAAUAACAUACAGAAGUUGGAAAUGCUAUUAAUUCAUUGAUUGCCAUUAACAACGUCAGUUACUCUGACAUGGGCUUUGUCUUGUUACUCAAUAAUCGUGACACAUUAAGUAAGGUCCAACAAGAACUAGAUGUUAAGGUUGGUAAGGAUAGGUUGGUAGUGACGGAAUCAGACACCAAAAGCUUAGUGUACCUUCAAUCCAUUAUUAAGGAAACGCUACGCUUAUACCCUGCUCUUCCACUAUCCCUGAUCCAUGAAGCCAUUGAAGACUGCACAGUUAAUGGAUAUCAUGUUUCAGCUGGCACUUGGCUUAUUAUAAAUCUUCAUAAGAUUCAUCGUGAUCCACUUAUAUGGGCAAAUCCCUCUAAAUUUCAACCUGAAAGAUUUAUGACCACACAUAAAGAUGUUGAUGUGAGGGGACAAAAUUUUGAACUGAUUCCAUUUGGAAGUGGUAGAAGAAUGUGUCCCGGACUUUCAUUUGCACUUCAGAAUUUGUCACUUAUACUAGCUAAUGUGUUACAUUGGUUUGAGUUUGAGACCUCGUUCGAUGAAGCCGUUGAUAUGCGUGAAGCACCUGGCCUGACGAGUUCUAAAGCAACUCCAUUAGAAGUUCAUAUAACUCCUCGUAAUCCUACUUAUGUUUAGCAAUUAUUAUAAGAAUUAACUUUUUAGUAUUAUUACUAUUUAUAUCUUUUUUGUGGAUAUCAAAAUUGUUAGUAUAUUGCUUAUUUAUCGAACAAUUAUUAUAUACACGAUCAAAAAUAAAUAUUUGGGCUACUUGGUGCUGUUGGUGCAAUUGAUUUUACUGAUUUAAUAUUUUUAUUUUAUUUUUUAUUUUUGAAUAAAUAAUUUUAUUCAAAACAUGCAUCUCAGUAGUUGUGUUGAAAGAAUAUCAACGUACUAAAGCAUAUGAGAACGAUGGUCAAUUGGAACCUUACCCCUGUAUUGGUGGAUAUCAACGUACUACUAAAGAAUUAAGUUGGAGGUGUUUACUGGGCACUUCUAACAAAAUUUGAGAGAGUUCAUUUCAUAAACAUAUAGUUUUAACUAAAUGAUAAAUUUAGAGUUGUUAUGCCUCUACCACUUCUCAAUUUACUCCUCACGAAAGCUCCACUUAUUAUUCGAACAUAUCUUUCGGGAACACUUCUCUACUUAACAGUUAUAUUAGUUUAUGUGAGCCUCACUUAUUAAUUGUCACUAUUCAUCUUUACUACCGUAUUUCAUCUCAAGUGAUUAAAAGCACUAUCAAUCCCCAUUCUACCUACACAUAUGGUGAUAGACAAUAUGGCCCCUUUUCUUGACUUGUUAAUAGAGACGUGACACGUGUAUCUCAAAAUUGUAGCUAAGGGUUUAAAAUACCUCAAAAUUGACUAGAAAAUGGCGCUCUCUCUCUCUUCCCCCCUCUCCCUCCCUCUCUCUCUUAAUAUACAUCAUCUACAUAAAUAGAACAUAAAAUUCAACGGUUGACUUAUUAAGAUAUUAAUUGUAUAAAAAAAUUAUAAAAAGUAUAAUAUCACUAUAAUUUUUGAUAAAUUAUAAAUAGCACGAGUCAAACCAAAAUCUCACAUAAGACAUUAAACACCCUUAACCAUCAAACCAAUACAUAAAGUUUAAUAUCAUUAUAAUUUUAUACUAAUAUAAGUGUAUCAUUUCCCUAUAUUUAAUGAUGAUAAUAAUAGACAAGAAUAUUAAUUUCGUGGAAAACAAUAAGUGAACGAAUUUCCUUUUUCAUCUUCAUUUUUUAUUUGGAAAUAAAAAUGUGUUCCACGAAGAUUACCAGGCUGGUUUUGUUAAUGUAGAAAAUAACGUUCUGUUUGUUUUACGAAAAAUGUAUUCAAAGUUUGAUUCAUGGAAAAUAGUUUGAUCAAUGGAAAAUGACUUAUAAGUCAACUGAAAAUAAGUCAUUUUUCUUGUAAAAUGACUUAGCGUAAAUCAUUUUUUCGGAGAAGAACUCAUUUAUAGGUAAUUUUACUUUCAUAUAAAAAAUAACUUUUAGUCAAGCUUAAUAUUAUUAUAUUAAUAAUAAAUUUUAUUUUUAUUUUUAAAAAUAUUUAAAAUAAAUAAAAUAUUAAUAUAACAUAUUAUAAUUUUUAAUAUUAUUAAACAUACAUAUUUAAUUAUCUCUAUCUAAUCAUAUAAUAAAUUAUUAUUUAAUAAAUUAAUUUUAUUUUAAUAAUAAAUUUUGAAAAUAAUAAUUUUAAAUAAUUUCAUAUAUUAUUGAAAAAAUUCAAUAUUAAUAUUUUGAUAACAAAUAUUUAUUACAAUUAUAAAUAUAUUAAUAAUAAAUGUUUUGUAGUAUAAAGUUUAAAAUAUGUCAUAAGUCUAUGUACUCUUUACAAAUUCAGAAUUAUAAAGUUUAAAUAUUUAGCCCAUCUACUCUUCAGAUUUGAAAAUCAAGUCCAAUUGUUAACAUUGCUUAAUUUUUUUUGUUAAUUUUGUCGAUUUUAAAUUUUCAAACAAAAAAUAUUCACUUGAUAGUCAUUUAACUAAAAAAUGAGGUUAUAAUUAACCUGAAUUUAAUAGAAUAUUUUUAGUAGUAGUAACUGUUGAGCCUGAAUUUAAUAUCUAAAAAGUAAAACUAAAUUUUCAAAAAUAAAAGUAAAUGGGCUAAAUAAUAUAAUUUUAUAAUAUGAUUCCACAAAUCUAUUAUUUAUGUUAUUUUAGAUAUUUAGUUAGCGAGAGAUGGUAGUGGAUCGUCAAGGAAAAGUGGUUUGCAAUAUUUGUCUUUGGGUUAAUUUAAUUAAUUGUCCCUAGAGUAUUAAUUAGACUUCAAAUUAGUUCCUAAAUUUUAAAAUAUUUUAUUUAAAUUCUUAAAAUAUUGGUAUCGAACAAAUCAUAUCAUUACCUCAACUUAACCGCUAAUUUAGAUGUUGAAUAAUAGUUUGAAUUUGACAUAGAGCAUAUUCAAAUUACGAGCAACAAAUUAUAAACACAUGUAAACUUAUCACAUAAACAUGUUGGAUAUGAAAAAUAAACGGUAUAAAAGAAUUUAGAAGUGUAAUUUUUUUAAGUUGUUAUUGUUUGUAUUCUAGCUUAAUAAUUGAGUAAUAUUAUAUAUUUAAUUUGAUGUAUUUAUUUAUAAAUAAAUUAUUGUAAUAUAUGAAAAAAAACAUAAAAUAUAUAUUUAUAGAUAUAAAAUAAAUUCAAUUAAAUAAUGAAAAUAUAAAAGAAUCUUAAAUGUAUUAAUUGAAAACAAUUUUUAUGAAAUAUUUUCAGGAAAAUUACUAAAUAAUCGAAAAUAUUUAUACUGAUUUAUUUGAACACCAUAAAAAAUUAAAUUUUUUAUAAAAAUAAAUCAUUUUUCAAAAAUCUUUUUUUUUUGGAAAUCAUUUUCAAGAAAAUAAAUGGAGCCCAAGAUUGGAAUUAGUAUAACCUGUCGUCUUUCUUCACAUCGCAGUACUUCGUUGAUUUUCUUAUAUGGCUUAAAAAUUCCAAUAUCAGUAACGUAUGUUAGUGAAAGAUCAAUAUACGAUAAUUACGUCAACAACACAACAAUGCAUAUAUAUGCAUUGUCUGUAUCUUAGAUUGAAAGUAGAAAUUUGGCGAUGGAUUAUUCCCAUUCACUCACAGCAACUUCAGCUGUUGCAAUCAUUGCUUUUCCACUACUAUUUCUUUUCUCUUUUCUAUGGAUCUCAAGAAGAAACACAAACUCGAAGAAAACAGCACCAGAAGCUGGUGGAGCAUGGCCUAUUAUUGGUCAUCUCCGCCUCUUAGGAGGAUCACAACCACCUCACAUAAGCUUGGCUAACAUGGCUGACAAAUAUGGAGGAAUCUUCAGUAUCAAGUUGGGUGUGCAUAGAGCUUUGGUGGUGAGCGAUUGGGAGAUUGCAAAAGAAUGUCUCACCGUAAAUGAUAAAGAGUUUGCCUCUCGUCCAAAACUUGCAAGCUCGGAAAUUUUGGGUAACAACAGAGCCAUGUUAGGCUUUGCACCAUAUGGACCUUAUUGGCGUCAAAUACGCAAGGUUGCCGCUAUUGAGCUCCUCUCAAAUCACCGACUCGAAUUACUUAAACAUGUAAGGGAAUCCGAGGUGAAGACAUCUCUGCAACAGUUGUAACAGCUGUGGAACAAGAAGAGAAGUGCUAACUCCGAUAAAGUAUUGGUGGAGAUGAGGGGAUGGUUCAAAGAAGUUACUCUGAACGUGAUUAUGUGGAUGAUUGUAGGGAAGCGAAUUCCAAAUUCCAGUGAAGGAGGUGAAAACUUGAAAUGGAGGAAAUCGAUGGAUGACUUCUUUGUACUAAGUGGAAAGUUCUUAAUAUCAGAUGCUUUGCCGUUUCUGAGAUUCCUGGACAUAGGUGGAGACAUCAAGUUCAUGAAGAAGACAGCGAAAGAAUUGGACCAAGUUCUGCAGGGAUGGCUACGAGAGCACAAGCAGAAGAGAGCUGAAAAUAAGGCAAACGGUGAGGAAGAUUUCAUGGGAGUGAUGCUGUCUAUUCUCAGUGAGGCGGAGGAACACCAUGCUGAUACAAUAAACAAAAUCAAUUGUCUAGUACGUGCAUAUCUCUUAACCAAAUAGAUUGUAAUUAAUGGCAAUUUUUUUUUGGUCAAGAUUGCUAUUAAUAACAUACAUAAGUUGGAAAUGCCAUUAUUUCAUUGUUGAUCUUUUCAUGGUAUUUGAUGUAACAGGGACUUGUCUUAGGCGUGGAGGAUACCACAUCCAUCACAUUGAUAUGGGCCUAUCUUUGCUACUCAAUAAUCGUGACAAAUUGAGUAAAGUCCAACAAGAACUAGAUGUCCACAUUGGUAAGGAUAGACUUCAGACACAAAAAACUUAGUGUACCUUCAAUCCAUCAUUAAAGAAACUCUACGCCUAUAUCCUCCUGCUCCGCUCUCUGUGAUCCAUGAAGCCACUGAAGACUGCACGGUUAAUGGAUACCAUGUUUCAGCUGGCACCUGGCUUAUUAUGAAUCUUCAUAAGAUUCAUCAUGAUCCACUUAUAUGGGCAAAUCCUUUUGAAUUUCAACCUGAAAGAUUUAUAACUACCCACAAAGACAUUGAUGUGAGGGGACAGAAUUUUGAACUAUUUCCAUUUGGAAGUGGUAGAAGAAUGUACCCCGGAGUUUCAUUUGCACUUCAAGUUUUACAGCUUACGUUGGCUAAUGUGUUGCAUUGGUUUGAGUUUGAAACCCCAUCAGGCAUAGCAGUCGAUAUGCGUGAAGGACUUGGGAUAAAGAGUUCUAAAGCAACUCCAUUAGAAGUUCAUAUAACUCCUCGCAUUCCUGCUUUUGUUUACAAUUCCACUAACUCCAUUAGAGCUUACCCUGGGUAAUUUGCUGCAUUGGUUCGAGUUUGAAACUCCAUCAAACAAUCCAGUCGAUAUGUCUGACGCAGUCAAAUUAAUGAGUCCUAAAGCAACUCCAUUAGAAGUUUAUAUAACCCAUCACAUUCCUACUUAUGUUUACCUAUAAUUAUAAUAAAUAAAUUUUAGUAUUAUUACUAUAUAUAUCUUUUUGCUGAUUUAAUAUAUUUAUUUAUUUUGAAUAAAUAAUUUUAUUCAAAACAUGCAUUAUCAAUAAUUGUGUUGAAAGAACAUUUCAACAUACUAAAGCAUAUGAGAACGAAAGUAGAUUGGAACCUUACCCCUGUAUUGGUGGAUAUCAAUGUAAUACUAAAGCAUCAAGUUGUAGUUGUUUAUUGGGCUCUUCUAAGAAAAAUUCACAAGUUCAUUUCAUAAAGAUAUAAUUUUAGCUAAAUCAUAAAUUUAGAGUUGUUAUGCCUCCGCUCCUUGGAUCUACUCCUCACGAAAGCUCCACCUAUUACUCGGACAUAUCUUUCAGGAACAGUCCUUGACCUAACAGUCAUAUUAAUUUAUGUGAGCUCUACUCAUUAAUCUUCACUACUCAACCUCACUAUCGUGUUUCAUCUAAAGUGAUUGAAAGCACGUCUAAUCGCCACCCUACCAACCUAAACCUAUGGUGACAAACCAUUUUAUUGGAUACCUACAAUCUUUGACUUUUCAAAGAUGAAUAGUGGUAGAAAGUUGGCACCGAAAGGCACCGAAAGUAGAAAGUAAGAUUGGUUGGCAAGUUGGGUUAAAAGUUGGCAUGGGAUAAUUGCAAUUUUGGUCCCUAAUUGUAUAGGGACAUUGCAAGUUGAUCCUUAAACCUCAACUAUAAAUAGGCCUAACCAUCUCUUACUUUCUUCAUCCCACACUUGCCAUUCUCUACUUAAGGCAAUUGUUCUCUCUCCCUAUUUGUAAACUUUCACUUGUAUUUUUGGAGUGAAAUAUAUUUGGUAGUGCCCGAGGACGUAGGCAAAAUUUGCUGAACCUCGUUAAAAUUCUAGUGUUCUUUAUUUUUGUUCUAGCAUAUUUUGCAAGUGUCAUUGUAGUGAUUUAUUGUGCUAUUAAAUUACGAUAGAGGGAUAUUCUGGCUAGGAAAGAUCUGGUAUGUAAGCGAUCCUCGUGAUCCACCUCUCUUUCCUGGGAAUUGAACUUAGUGUGAUUUUUCAGUACAAUAAUUUUACUCUUUCACACGCUUCCGCGCAACAAUUGGUACCAGAGCCAGGUUCGUACUUGGGGAAUACGACCGCUUACGGUACUAUUCACGUAUACGGCACUAUUUACGUAUACGGUACUAUUCACAUAUACGGAACUAUUCACGUAUACGAUACUGUUCACGUAUACAGUAGUUGGGAUUGAGGAGAAAAAUGACAGCAGCAUCGUCAUCAGCAAGGACUACUGUGACAAAUGCAAAAUUUGAAGUAGAGAAAUUUGACGGUACCAAUAAUUUUGGUAUGUGGCAGUGUGAGAUCCUGGAUGUCUUAUGUCAGCAAGAGCUGGAUAUAGCCCUUGAAGAAAAACCUGACAAGAUGGAUGACAAGGAGUGGGCCAAGAUCAAUAGACAGGCGUGUGGAACAAUCCGCCUAUGUUUGGCCAAAGAGCAAAAGUACUCCGUCAUGAGGGAGACAUCAGCGAAGAAGCUGUGGGAUACAUUGGAAGAAAAGUUUCUAACGAAAAGUCUUGAAAAUAGGCUUUAUAUGAAAAAGAAACUUUAUCGAUUCACGUAUGCACCCGGUAUGUCGAUGAAUGACCAUGAGAACUCAUUCAAUAAAAUUUUAGCAGACUUGCUAAAUUUGGAUGAGAAAUUUGAAGAUGAAGACAAGGAAUUAUUGUUGUUGAAUUCCCUUCCUGAUGAAUAUGAUCAUCUUACCACCACAUUGCUUCAUGGGAAGGACACGAUCACAUUUGAUGCAGUCUGUAGUGCGUUGUAUAGAUCUGAGACUCGAAAGAAAGAUAAAAGAUAUCACAGAGAUACAACUGCAGAAGUCUUAACAGUAAGAGGUCGUUCACACAGCAGCAAACCUGGUAGAAGGGGUAAGUCCAAAGGGAGACCCGCCAAAGAUGAAUGUGCCUUUUGUCGUGAGAAAGGGCAUUAGAAAAAGAAUUGUCCUAAGCUACAAAAGGGCAAGGCUAUUUCUAAUACAUGUGUAGCGGAGCAUGAUGAGGAGUCAGACUUUAGCUUGGUUGGCAUGGCAAUGGCAUGUCAAACGGAUGAGUGGAUUUUGGAUUCAGGAUGUACUUACCAUAUGUGUCCUAAUAAGGACUGGUUUUCUAGUCUUAAAGAGCUAGAAGGUGGAAUUGUUCUUAUGGGCAAUGAUAGUGCUUGUAAGACAAUGGGAGUGGGUACAGUCCAAUUGAAAAAUCACGACGGCUCAAUCCAAGUCUUGACAGAUGUUCGCUACGUACCUAGCUUGAAGAAAAAUCUCAUCUCAUUAGGGGCCCUAGAAUCUAAAGGGCUCACAAUCACUUUGAGAGAUGGAUUACUAAAGGUAGUAGCUGGGGUAUUGACGGUGAUGAAAGGCACUAGAAGAAAUAACUUGUACUAUUUAAAUGGAAGUACAGUUAUUGGAUCAACAUCAACAGCUUCUGCGAAAGAUGCAGAUUCAGAGGCUACCAGGUUAUGGCAUAGGCGAUUGGGACAUGCUGGUGAAAAAACUUUGCAGACUUUGGCGAAGCAAGGCUUGUUGAAAGGUGCAAAUUCUUGCAAAUUGGAAUUCUGUGAACAUUGUGUUCUGGGCAAGCAGACGAGGGUAAAAUUUGGUUCAGCAAUUCACAAUACGAAAGGAAUUCUGGACUAUGUUCACAGUGAUGUGUGGGGACCUACCAAAGUGGCUUCUUUGGGAGGUAUGCACUAUUUUGUCACUUUUCUUGAUGAUUAUUCAAGAAAAGUAUGGGUGUAUCUAAUGAAAAGAAAAAAUGAAGUUUUGGAUGCAUUUCUGAAGUGGAAGAAGAUGGUGGAGACUCAGACAGGUCGAAAGGUCAAACGACUUCGAUCAGAUAAUGGUACUGAGUACAAAAAUGAUCCAUUUCUACAAGUAUGUCAAGAUGAGGGCAUUGUGCGACACUUCACUGUUCGAGAUACACCACAGCAGAAUGGGGUGGCAGAACGCAUGAAUCAGACUAUACUGGAGAAAGUUCGAUGUAUGUUGUCCAAUGCUGGAUUGGGCAAGGAAUUUUGGGCUGAGGCAGUUACAUAUGCGUGCCAUCUAAUUAACCGAUUGCCAUCAGCUGCAAUAAAUGGAAAAACUCCUAUGGAGAUGUGGACUGGUAAACCUGCUACUGAUUAUGAUUCUUUACAUGUUUUUGGUUCCACUGCAUAUUAUCAUGUAAAAGAAUCUAAGUUAGACCCAAGAGCAAAGAAAGCAUUAUUCAUGGGUAUAACUGGUGGUGUAAAAGGAUACCGUCUCUGGUGUCCUGAUACAAGGAAGAUUGUUUUCAGUAGAGAUGUAACUUUUGAUAAAUCAACCAUGAUGAAGAACGAGAAUUCACAAAAGGAUGACAAAACCAGUAGUACUUUGCAGCAGGUGGAGUUUGAAAAGGUUAAUGAUGAUCUAGCUAAUAUUGAAAGAACAAAUGAUGAAGAAGUUUCGACCCAAGAACUUCUACAGCAACAAGAUUCAAUUGCAUAUAGGAGGCCAAGAAGAGAGAUUCGUAAGCCUGCUCGCUUUGAUGAUAUGGUGGCCUAUGCACUUCUAAUUGCAGAUGAUGAUGUUCCUUCCACUUACACAGAAGCAAUAAGUAACUCUGAUGGUGUAAAGUGGAAGCAAGCUAUGAAUGAAGAAAUGCAGUCUCUUCAUAAAAAUAGGACUUGGGAGUUGGUGAGACUGCCCAAGGGAAAGAAGGCAAUUGGAUGCAAAUGGGUAUAUGCAAAGAAGGAAGGAUUUCCUGGUAAAAAUAAAAUUCGAUACAAGGCUAGAUUGGUAGCAAAGGGUUAAGCUCAGAAAGAAGGAAUAGACUACAAUGAAGUGUUUUCUCCAGUUGUGAAGCAUUCGUCUAUUCGAAUUUUACUAGCCUUGGUUGCGCAAUACGAUCUUGAACUAGUUCAGCUUGAUGUAAAGACAGCAUUUUUACACGGUGAUUUGGAAGAGGAAAUCUAUAUGACUCAGCCUGAUGGAUUCAAUGUUGCUGAUAAAGAAAAUUGGGUUUGCAAACUGACAAAGUCACUUUAUGGAUUGAAACAAUCUCCGAGGCAGUGGUACAAGCGAUUUGAUCAGUUCAUGAAAGGGCAAAGGUACACAAGAAGUAAAUUUGAUCAUUGCGUAUAUUUUCAGAAGCUACAAGAAGGAACUUUCAUAUACUUGCUCUUAUAUGUUGAUGAUAUGCUGAUAGCAUCUAAGAGCAAAGUUGAGAUUGAGAGAUUGAAGACUCAACUCAAUCUCGAGUUUGAGAUGAAAGAUCUAGGUGAAGCUAAGAAGAUUCUUGGCAUGGAAAUAUGUAGAGAUAGAGCUCAUGGCAGAGUUAGCUUGUCUCAGAAGCAGUAUUUGAAGAAAGUACUACAGCAGUUUGGUAUGAACGAGCAUACCAAACCUGUAAGUACCCCGUUGGCUUAUCAUUUCAAGCUUUCUGCACAACUAUCUCCUUCAACGAAUACGGAACGAGAAUAUAUGUUGCAAGUUUCGUAUUCUAAUGCAGUGGGUAGCUUGAUGUAUGCAAUGGUGUGUACAAGACCCGACAUUUCACAGGCAGUUAGUAUAGUGAGUAGGUAUAUGCAUAAUCCUGGAAAAGGACAUUGGCAAGCUGUGAAAUGGAUUCUACGGUAUAUUCAGAAAACCGUGGAUGUUGGAUUACUGUUCAAGCAGGAUAAUACACUUGGUAAAGGUGUUAUUGGGUACGUUGAUUCUGACUAUGCCGGUGAUUUGGACAAGCGAAGAUCAACCAUCGGUUAUGUGUUUACACUUGCUGGAGGACCAAUAAGUUGGAAGUCUACACUACAGUCUACAGUUGCAUUGUCAACCACAGAAGCCGAGUACAUGGCUGUAACAGAGGCUGUAAAGGAGGCUAUUUGGUUACAAGGUAUGGCUAAAACCUUGGGGUUGGUUCAGGAGCAUAUUAACGUGUAUUGUGAUAGUCAAAGUGCUAUUCAUUUAGCAAAGAAUCAAGUCUAUCAUGCACGUACAAAACAUAUCAACGUACGAUUCCAUUUUGUGCGGGAAAUUAUUGAAGAGGGGAAAAUUUGUCUUCAGAAGAUCAAGACUGCAGAUAAUCUCGCAGAUAUGAUGACCAAGGUGGUAACAACAACCAAGUUCGAACAUUGUUUGAACUUGAUCAAUAUCCUGCAAGUUUAACAGUUGAAGAAGGCACUAUCAAGUAUUGUUGUCAAAGGAAGAAAGAAUUGUGUGAAGAUAAGAUUAUCCUAAUCAAAUCUUCAAGGUGGAGAUUAUUGGAUACCUACAAUCUUUGACUUUUCAAAGAUGAAUAGUGGCAGAAAGUUGGCACCGAAAGGCACCGAAAGUAGAAAGUAAGAUUGGUUGGCAAGUUGGGUUAAAAGUUGGCAUGGGAUAAUUGCAAUUUUGGUCCCUAAUUGUAUAGGGACAUUGCAAGUUGAUCCUUAAACCUCAACUAUAAAUAGGCCUAACCAUCUCUUACUUUCUUCAUCCCACACUUGCCAUUCUCUACUUAAGGCAAUUGUUCUCUCUCCCUAUUUGUAAACUUUCACUUGUAUUUUUGGAGUGAAAUAUAUUUGGUAGUGCCCGAGGACGUAGGCAAAAUUUGCUGAACCUUGUUAAAAUUCUAGUGUUCUUUAUUUUUGUUCUGCAUAUUUUGCAAGUAUCAUUGUAGUGAUUUAUUGUGCUAUUAAAUUACGAUAGAGGGAUAUUCUGGCUAGGAAAGAUCUGGUAUGUAAGCGAUCCUCGUGAUCCACCUCUCUUUCCUGGGAAUUGAACUUAGUGUGAUUUUUCAGUACAAUAAUUUUACUCUUUCACACGCUUCCGCGCAACACAUUUGGCCCAUUAUUCCUGACUUGCUAAUAGAGACGUGACAUAUGGCAUCUCAAGAUUGUAGCUAAGGGUUUAAAAUCUCUCAAAUCUGACUGGAAAAAGGGACUCUCUCUCUUUCUCUCCGCUCCUUUCAUUCCUCCUUCAACAACCUAACCCGAUAUCAACACCAUCUUCGUCUGAACACCUCCUAUGGUGGUUGUCCGCCUUGUACCCAACGAGGUGAACCGCCUAAUUCCACUGUCAUUUCCAUCUUAUCAAAACUAAGCAUUAACAAUUGAUACAGUAAGUGUAGACUCACUCCUAUCAUGAUAUUUCUCUAAUACCAAACUCAAAACCAAAUCUAAAAUAUUAUCCAAACUCAACCAAAUCAACACGAGAACUACUACUAUCAUCCUUACAACUAUUAUGCUAAACGAUAUUCGUGUCAACAAAGAUAUUAUAAAGCCUACCCAAACUAUUAAAUUAGACAAUUUGAAUUAAAAGUUGAUUUGAAAUUAAAUGCUUUUAUUGUAUGUGUCAUUAUAUGGAGCUUUCUGCAUUAGCAUGUAACUUGUUAGAUGGAGCUUUCUAGCAGGCAGGGGCUUGAGCUUGAUCCCCACUUGGCUAAAGGGUAUAGUUCCCUUUUCAAUCCCUUUGAAAAUUAAUUCUUAAAUAUUAUUCUUAAAAUUAGUCCACAAGCUUAUCUUACUAAAAAAAAAUUAAAUUGUCCAAAAAAAAAAUAAAAGUGUAGGAAUUAGUUUUAGCAAAUAACAUAGAAAAAUUACGUUAAAAGAAAUGGAGAAGGAAGGAAAAUAGAGGGAGAAGCAAAAGAGAAUGAAAAAGAAAAGAAAAAAAAGAAAAAAUAGCAUAAAAGAAAAAAUGAAAUUGCUAAAAAUGAAAAAAAACGGGGACCGAUUAUAGAAAUUAACCUAAAAUUUUUGUUUGUAAUGAUGAUUUAAUGUGUCACAUCAGCUUAUCGUUAUAUCGUUAAUGACAAUCAACGGCUCAGUGACUAAAAUAUUACAGUGUGAUAACUUAAGUGACUAAAAUGUAACCUAAAGUGAAAAAAAUGACUAUUUUAGUAGUUUACCCAUAAUAUUACUUAUUUUAGUUGCGGAAUGACAUUCCUAUAAUUUUCUAACCAAGUUAGUGACUUAUUGACUCAUACACCAACUCGAUCCGGAGUUUAAUAAUAGUAUAGAUAUACAAUUGAUAGAACUAAUGGAGUGUGCAUAAUAAAAUUAAAAUAUAUACAAAUAUCAAAAUAAUAUUUUAGUUGAGUGGUAAAUUAAAUGUUUUACGAAUGCAAUCGGUGUGAGUUUGAAUCCCAUCAUAUCCAUAUUUUUAUUAAUUUUUUACAUAAAAAGAUUAAAAUACCCUCAUAGUUUAAUUAGGAAUUGAUGCCCAAUUAACUCGUGACACCAACUCAACAAAAAAUUUAAAAAUAAUGUAGAUUUAAUUAAUUAUUAUCAAAAUUAACUCAAUAUAAAAUAGUGUAAAAUCGGAAAAUAUCCGAAUUUAGAUUAAAAAAUAUGAAUAGAAAAAUUAUCCAAAACUUUAAUAUUUCCGAACACUGCCAAGCUUCAAUUGGCUAGGUAUGCUGUUGUUUGUCAAAAGUAGAAAACGUGGGUGGAUUUUGCGUGAUCCUUUAAGAUAUGAAAGGGAUUGAGCAAUCUUACAAUUAUAUCAACAUUUAGUUAAAUUACAUGAUUAAUCUCUAUAUUAUGAAUUUAAUUCUUGUAUUUUAAUUUAUUUAAUUUUCAAUUUUAAAAUUUUAAUUCUCAUCAAACGAUAAUUAUUACAUUCAUUAAGUUAAGUUUUGCUAUUUUCAAAAUCUGAUGCGAAAAACAUAUUACCAUAUAUAUAAUGCUAUGUCUUAUUAUUUCCAAAUAUUACUUGCUAAAAAUAUAUUCAGUUAAUGGAUUUAUGACGGUCAUUUACGUCAAGAAUAAAAUUUUAAUUUUCAAAAAGUACAGGGACUUAGAAUGAUCUAAUUGGAGAAUAUGGACUAAAUUUACAAUCGUAAACAUAAUACAAGACUAAUAAUUGAAUUUAAACAAACGGAUUUAACUACUAUUUAUUAGGGUUAAGACUAGAUUUUUAAAAUUUAAAAAAGUUAAGAGACUAGAAUUCACCAAUUCAAAAAGUAUAAUGAUCAAAAUUAAUCAAAUUAAAAUGUAUGGGUUAAAUCUGUAACUUUUACAAAGUAGAGGGACUAAUAACAAAAUUUAACCUUAAUUAAAGAAAUUAUUGUUCCUAGAGUGUGGGGGAAUAUACAUAUUUGGGUAGACAGAGGUCACAGUUUUCAUUUUUAGGCACCAAAAAUAAAAAUUUUACAACUUUGGCACUCCUAAUUUAUCCUUUUCAUUUUGUUUUUUAGAAUUAAUUUUUAGAAAUUAAAUGACAAAAAAAAAAAAAAAAACAAGAACACUUGUUGAUGACGGUACUGUCUUGACAUCCCCUAGCCCUUUAAAUCCAACUCCCUCAUCUCUGCUGCUCACAUUCCAUUUCUUAUCUUAAUAUUGAAGUGGGAAUCGGGCGAUGGAUUAUUUCCAUUCACUCACAGCAACUUCAACGGUUGCAAUCGUUGCUUUUCCACUACUCCUUUUCUCUUUUCUGUCGAUCUCAAGAAGAAACACAAACUCGAAGAAAACAGCACCAGAAGCUGUCGAUAUGUGUGAAGCACUUGGGAUAUCAAGUUCUAAAGCAACUUCAUUAGAAGUUUAUAUAACCCCUCGUCUUCCUUUUUUUUUUUAUGAUUCCAUUAACUAAUUGGUUUUUUAAUUUUAUUAUAAAAUGAGUAGAAUUCAACAAAUUUCUAAGGUACUAUACUUGUCAUUUAAUAAUACCAUAUGCAACUUUUGGUAUUUUUUCUUUCCUGAAAAAAAAGUAGAAUUCAAUAAAUUUCAAAUAUUUCAAGGAAAAGUGGUUUGCCCAAGUAAUGUUAGUCAAUCUAAUGGUAAAGACAUGAAUGGCCCUUGCACGAUACCUUAAUCAGUCCAAUUCAAGGAGGCGUAAAGUAUCGCACUACAUGUCAAAUCAAGUCCAGCUCUUAAUGACAUUUUGAUUGAUCAGUGUUUUCAAAACAAGAAAAAUGGAGAGAAAAUUGAUAAUGGAAUUGGAUUGAUCAUUGAUGUAUGAUUUGGGGUGACGGGAAAAAGGCUACUUCACUUUACAUAAAAAAGAUCACGAUCUUUAUAAGAUUCAUCAUGAUCCAUUUAUAUGGGCAAAUCCUUUUGAAUUUCAACUUGAAAGAUUUAUAACUAGUCACAAAGACAUUGAUGUGAGAGGACAGAAUUUUGAACUGAUUCUAUUUGGAAGUGGUAGAAGAAUGUUCCCUGGAGUUUCAUUUGCACUUCAAAUUUUGCUUUUAACACUAGUCACUAGCUAAUGUAUUGCAUUGGUUUGAGUUUGAGACUCCAUCAAACGAAGCUGUCGAUAUGCGUGAAGCACUUGGGAUAACGAAUUCUAAAGCAACUCCAUUAGAAGUUCAUAUAACUCCUCGCCUUCUUGCUUUUGUUUACAAUUCCACUAACUCCAUUAGAGCUUACCCUGGGUAAUUUGCUGCAUUGGUUCGAGUUUGAAACUCCAUCAAACAAUCUAGUCGAUAUGUCUGAAGCAGUCAAAUUAAUGAGUCCUAAAGCAACUCCAUUAGAAGUUUAUAUAACCCAUCACAUUCCUACUUAUGUUUACCUAUAAUUAUAAUAAAAAAAAUUUUAGUAUUAUUACUAUAUGUAUCUUUUUGCUGAUUUAAUAUAUUUAUUUAUUUUGAAUAAAUAAUUUUAUUCAAAACAUGCAUUAUCAAUAAUUGUGUUGAAAGAACAUUUCAACAUACUAAAGCAUAUGAGAACGAAAGUCGAUUGGAACCUUACCCCUGUAUUGGUGGAUAUCAAUGUACUACUAAAGCAUCAAGUUGGAGUUGUUUAUUGGGCUCUUCUAAGAAAAAAUCACAGAGUUCAUUUCAUAAAGAUAUAAUUUUAGCUAAAUCAUAAAUUUAGAGUUGUUAUGCCUUCGCUGCUUGGAUUUUGAACACCUCUAUAAUGGUUGUCUGCCUUGUAUCCCACGAGGUGAACUGCCUAAUUCCACUGUCAUUUUCGUCUUAUCAAAUCCAAGCAUUAACAAUUGAUAUAGUAAGUAUAGACUCACUCCUAUCGUGAUAUUUCUCUAAUACCAAACUCAAAACCAAAUCUAAAAUGUUAUCCAAACUCAACCAAAUCAACAUGAAAACUACUACUAUCAUCCUUACAACUAUUAUGCUAAACGAUAUUCGUGUCAACAAAGAUAUUAUAAAGCCUACCCAAACUAUUAAAUUAGACAAUUUGAAUUAAAAGUUGAUUUGAAAUUAAAUGCUUUUAUCGUAUGUGUCAUUAUAUGGAGCUUUCUACAUUAGCAUGUAACUUGUUAGAUGGAGCUUUCUAGCAGGCAGGGGCUUGAGCUUGAUCCCCACUUGGCUAAAGGGUAUAGUACCCUUUUCAAUCCCUUUGAAAAUUAAUUCUUAAAUAUUAUUCUUAAAAUUAGUCCACAAGCUUAUCUUACUCAAAAAAAUUUAAAUUGUCCAAAAAAAAAUAAAAGUGUAGGAAUUAGUUUUAACAAAUGGUAAACAUAGAAAACUUAAGUUAAAAGAAAUGGAGAAGGAAAGAAAAUAGAGGGAGAAGCAAAAGAGAAUGAAAAAAAGAAGAAGAAAAAAUAACAUGAAAGAAAAAAUGAAAUUGCUCAAAAUGAAAAAAUAUGGGGACCGAUAACAGAAAUUAACCUAAAAUUUUUGUUUGUAAUGAUGAUUUAAUGUGCCACAUCAGCUUACCAUUAUAUCGUUAAUGACAAUCAACGGCUCAGUGACUAAAAUGUUACAGUGUGAUAACUUAAGUGACUAAAAUGUAACUUAAAGUAAACAAAAAUGACUAUUUUAGUAGUUUAUCCAUAAUAUUACUUAUUUUAGUUACAGAAUGACAUUCCUAUAAUUUCCUAACCAAGUUAGUGACCGAUUGACUCAUACACCAACUCGAUCCGGAGUUUAAUAAUAGUAUAGGUAUACAACUGAUGGAACUAAUGGAGUGUGCAUAAUAAAAUUAAAAUAUAUACAAAUAUCAAAAUAAUAUUUUAGCUUAGUGGUAAAUUAAAUGUUUUACUAAUGCAAUCGGUGUGAGUUUGAAUCCCAUUGUAUCCAUAUUUUUAUUGAUUUUUUUACAUAAAAAGAUUAAAAUACCCUCAUAGUUUAAUUAGGAAUUGAUGCCCAAUUAACUUGUGACACCAACUCAACAAAAAAUUUAAAAAUAAUGUAGAUUUAAUUAAUUAUUAUCAAAAUAAACUCAAUAUAAAAUAGUGUAAAAUCAGAAAAUAUCCGAAUUUAGAUUAAAAAAAUAUGAAUAGAAAAAUUAUCCAAAACUUUAAUAUUUCCGAACACUGCCAAGCUUCAAUUGGCUAUGUAUACUAUUGUUUGUCAAAAGUAGAAAACGUGGGUGGAUUUUGCGUGAUCCUUUAAGAUAUGUAAGGGAUUCAGCAAUCUUACAAUUAUAUCAACAUUUAGUUAAAUUACGUGAUUAAUCUCUAAAUUAUGAAUUUAAUUCUUGUAUUUUAAUUUAUAUAUUUUUCAACUUUAAAAUUUUAGUUCUCAUCAAACAAUAAUUAUUACAUUCAUUAAGUUAAGUUUUGCUAUUUUUAAAAUCUGAUGCGAAAAACAUAUUACCAUAUAUAUAAUGCUAUGUCUUAUUAUUUCCAAAUAUUACUCACUAAAAAUAUAUUCAGUUAAUGGAUUUAUGACGGUCAUUUACGUCAAGAAUAAAAUUUUAAUUUUCAAAAAGUACAGGGACUUAGAAUGAUCUAAUUGGAGAAUAUGGACUAAAUUUACAAUCGUAAACAUAAUACAAGACUAAUAAUUGAAUUUAAACAAACGGAUUUAACUACUAUUUAUUAGGGUUAAGACUAGAUUUUUAAAAUUUAAAAAAGUUAAGAGACUAGAAUUCACCAAUUCAAAAAGUAUAAUGAUCAAAAUUAAUCAAAUUAAAAUGUAUGGGUUAAAUCUAUAACUUUUACAAAGUAGAGGGACUAAUAACAAAAUUUAACCUUAAUUAAAGAAAUUAUUGUUCCUAGAGUGUGGGGGAAUAUACAUAUUUGGGUAGACAGUCACAGUUUUCAUUUUUAGGCACCAAAAAUAAAAAUUUUACAACUUUGGCACUCCUAAUUUAUCCUUUUCAUUUUGUUUUUUAGAACUAGUUUUUAGAAAUUAAAUGACAAAAAAAAAAAAAAAACAAGAACACUUGUUAAUGAAGGUGCUGUGUUGACAUCCCCUAGCCCUUUAAAUCCAACUCCCUCAUCUCUGCUACUCACAUUCCAUUUUUUAUUGUUUAAAGGUGGCAACAACAGCAGCUACAUGCAAGAAACCAUGCAACGUGAACGUUGCAUGAAAAGAACCAAGAAUGCAGCAGAUGCAUGCUAGUGUCCAUGGUGUAAUUCGACAGCAGCAUGUUUUAUUUUGUUGAUUUUUGAUAGUUAAUGCUGUAAUCAUUUUAUGCUUUGGUCAGCUAAGAUUAAUUGUGUGCUUAGCUGAUUUUGUAGUCUUUUUUAGGUUAUCAUUAGGUUGAUGUAAACAUUUAGACACUUGCACAAGCAAGCUUUGUUUUCUUUCUAUGUAUUUUGAUCUAUUUAUGUAUGUAACCAUGUUCUUAUUCGGGUAAUGAAGAAAUCACCUUGUUCAUUCAAAUUUCUUUGAUUUUUGCUUCUGUUUUAAUCUUUCAAACACUUCAGCACCUUCUUGCUGAGUUAAAAACCAACACUUAUCUUAAUAUGGAAGUGGGAAUCUGGCAUCCAUUUACUCACAGCAACUUCAACGGUUGCAAUCGUUGCUUUUCCACUACUACUUCUUUUCUCUUUUCUGUCGAUCUCAAGAAGAAACACAAACUCGAAGAAAACAGCACCAGAAGCUGUCGAUAUGUGUGAAGCACUUGGGAUAUCAAGUUCUAAAGCAACUUCAUUAGAAGUUUAUAUAACCCCUCGUCUUCUUCUUUUUUUUUUAUGAUUCCAUUAACUAAUUGGUAUUUUAAUUUUAUUAUAAAAUGAGUAGAAUUCAAUAAAUUUCUAAGGUACUAUACUUGUCAUGGAAUAAUAGCAUAUGCAACUUUUGGUAUUUUAACUUUCUUUAAAAAAGAAAAAGGUAGAAUUCAAUAAAUUUUAAAUAUUUCUUCUGAUUAAAAUUUAUCAUUAUUUCAUGGAAAUUGUUAGGAUCGUCCCGAUUAAGCAACGAACAAAUAAAAAUAGUAGAAGAAAUUGAGAAGAUGAACACACAAAUUUAACGUGGAAAAACCCCUCAAAAGAGGAUAAAAAACCACAGGCAAAGAUAAUUUUACUAUAAUGGCAAAAGAAUGAAGAGUACAAAAGAUGGAGAUAAAAACUAAACCCCGAAAACCCGAAAAACAAAGAACUCUCAAACGUAAACACAAAAUUCUCUGAAUGUGUUAUGAGUUCUAAUCUAAUGGGUGUCUCUUAAUUCUAAGAUUGUAAAGGAGCCUAUUUAUAGGCUAAAUUAGUAAGUCAAAUAAACUAUACUAAUAAAUGCUAAAUAUAUUAUACUAAUAAAUACUAAAUCUUCUAGAAAGAAAAUAUAUUUUUGUUUAACUUGACUUGCAAGCAAUCUCUUAGAAUUUGGGUCACACAAUUCUAACAAUUUCCACCUUGACACAAAUUCUUUCAAUGCCAUCUUUGCCAAAACCCGCCACGGGCCUAUCUUGAACUAUGCAGGGAAUUAACUGAGUCGAAUCUAUGCUUAGAAGGUGGAAGACUUCUAGCCUUCGACUUGUGCACUGCCAAAUCAAAACUAACCCGGGUCUGAUUUUCACGAAUACAGUGCCCUAACUUUUCAAAACCUGCAUCCAAAAGAGAACCUCUCUUCAACGAAACGGUCAUACCUUUUUCCCUCCUAUGACCAAGUUGCCUCCGCUUCAAAUGAGCUGACUUUGACUCCGUAACGGACGAGGGACGUCCGAUUUCACCGGUCACUGUAGAACCUUCCAGAAUAUAAAGACUGCCGGUUUUUUUACCUUUUAACAAAACGAGAGCUCCACGAGAUACUUUAAUGUCGCUCGACUCGAUGUUGAUUCUGCAUCCUUUCAAGUCUAAAAUACUCAAGGAGAUGAGAUUCUUUCGUAAAUCAGGUUCAUACCUGACAUCUGAGAGUGUCCUAAUCGUCCCAUCGUGUAUCCUAAUUUUAACAGUACCAAUACCGAUUAUUUUACUAGAUGAAUCGUUUCCCAUGUGCACAACUCCACCUUCAACUGAACUGUAUGUGGAGAACCAUUCUCUAUUGGGACACAUGUGGAAAGAACAUCCUGAAUCUAGGAUCCACUCAGACGUAAGCUUGGAGUUAUCGCUCGUUGACACUAACAAGAAAUCAUCACCGCCUUCAUCGACCAAAUUAGCACCAACUAAAUCUUCCUCGUUACUCUCAGCAGCUCUUUUAUUUCGCAGUUUAUAACAAUCUGCUUUGACGUGACCUAACUUUUUGCAAUAGCGACACCUUUUGUCUCGUUUCUUUGAUGCUACCAAAACGGAAGCUUGUCUAUCUGCUUUGCUAUUCAAAUCAAACUCAUUGUCGAGUUUGUCUCUACUCAACAAAUGACCCUUCACAUCUUCGAACGAGAGUUUGUCUCUACCAUAAAUCAGGGUCUCCCUGAAAGACUUGUAUGAAGAGGGUAAAGAGCACAAUAAUAGCAUAGCUUGAUCUUCAUCGUCAAUAUGAACCUCGACGUUCUUUAAAUCAUUUAAAAGAGUAAUGAAUUGACUGAUGUGAUCUUUAAGAAGCUCACCUUCGUUCAUGCGAAACGUAAAUAGACGUUGUUUCAACACUAAACGGUUAGCCAGAGACUUAGUUGCAUAAAGAGUUUCUAACCUUUUCCACAAGGCGAAUAAGGUCUUCUCCAUCAAUACCUCCUGCAAUACUGUAUUCGUGAGGCACAACUGGAUUGCAGACAAGGCAUUUUCAUCAAGCUCUUCCCAUUCUGUUUGAUUUAGAUUCUCAGGCUUUUUCCCUGUAACAACCUUUUUCAAGCCAUUUUGAACUAGAAUUGCCAUCAUCUGAACUUGCCACAGAUUGAAAUUUGUCUCACCAUCGAACUUCUCAAUUUCAAACCUUGUUGCUGCCAUCUCUGACCGGGCUGAUCUAUGAAAGUUAAACUAGCUCUGAUACCACUUGUUAGGAUCGUCCCGAUUAAGCAACGAACAAAUAAAAAUAGUAGAAGAAAUUGAGAAGAUGAACACACAAAUUUAACGUGGAAAACCCCCUCAAAAGAGGAUAAAAAACCACAGGCAAAGAUAAUUUUACUAUAAUGGCAAAAGAAUGAAGAGUACAAAAGAUGGAGAUAAAAACUAAACCCUGAAAACCCGAAAAACAAAGAACCCUCAAACGUAAACACAAAAUUCUCUGAAUGUGUUAUGUGUUCUAAUCUAAUGGGUGUCUCUUAAUUCUAAGAUUGUAAAGGAGCCUAUUUAUAGGCUAAAUUAGUAAGUCAAAUAAACUAUACUAAUAAAUGCUAAAUAUAUUAUACUAAUAAAUACUAAAUCUUCUAGAAAGAAAAUAUAUUUUUGUUUAACUUGACUUGCAAGCAAUCUCUUAAAAUUUGGGUCACACAAUUCUAACAGAAAUUAAUUCUUUUAAAGUUCGUGAUAGUCGUUCCUAUAAUAUUUUUUCAAAAAUUUAAACUUAAAAUUUUGAUUUGGAAUUAUAUUAUGUCUUAUCAGGUUUUUUUUUGGUCCUUUAAUGCUGAGUUUAGUAGAGUAUUGAUUGCUUUACUCUCAAAUAUUGAUCGACCACAAUGCCCCUUUCAAUUUCGGUCAAUUAAUUUGUGCAACAUUCUAAAUUAUUGUGAGUCAUAUUAGACCGUUCUUGAAUAAUUGGAUUUUUUGAUCUAGCGUAUCUUUACAUUACGUAAAAAUGGUAAAUGCAUAAUGAAAACUUUUAAUGAAUGGUCAAAAGAAACAAAAGAGAAGUAGAUUGCACGAACUGCAAUACGCAAUAAAUGUAUCUUUUUGAGAAGGCAACAUAAGAUUAAUUUAAUUUAUUUGUAUUAUUGAUGUGACAUAUAAUUAUUGAUGAGACAUAUAACUAUAUGUGAUGCAUUGUUUAGGCAAUAAAUAGGUUGCAUUAUAGUACAUAUGUGGUAUGCAUGUUGACACUAUUUUUUUGAUAAAACAGGGUCGACGUUGGUUCGAAAAUGAAAAUUAAAAAGAGGAGUCGCCACCAAUCUUUUUUGAUGAUGUGUGAUUGGGUCACCUCGAAAAGUGGUUAUUUUUAAUAAGCGAUUUGAUUUUAUUAAAAUAACGAUUUUGGUCCACGAAAUUCAAAAAAACUGGUUCGGGAGUCAGUUACGUACGAGGAAGGAUUAGCACCCUCGUGAGGCCAAAAAAUUUGUACCUAGUUAAUUAAUUAAUGUCUUAAUGUCGAAAAUUAAAAACUUUGAAGAGAUUUAAAAUACGAUCUUUUAUAAAAAAAACUUAUAUAAAUCAAAUUACCCGUUAAGACCCUCUCAUUUCGGAGAGAGAAAAUGUCACACCCAAUGAGUUAGGGCAUGAUAUUUCAACUCCUCAAAAAAUGAGCUUGUCCUAAAAACUCAUGCAAUAAAAUUUAAAAGGAUAUUCAAUUGUUUAAGUCAGAUGAGGAAAUUGUAGCCCAAUACGUUAGGGCACAAUUUUUUAAAAUUCCAAACAUUGAAUAUUGUCUUUAUUUUUUAGAAAAAUCCUCAUCUCGAGAAAACAACAUGUCGUAUCCAAUGCAUUAGGACACAAUGUAUCGAAUUCCCGAUAAUGAACUUUUUAUUUAUGUGUUUUGAUUAAAGAAUAUUCUCGAUUAUUUGGAUUCAACGAGGAAAAUUGGAUCCCAAUACGUUAGGGCUCAAUCCUUUCGAAGAUCCCAAAUACUGAAUAUUGCGUUAUCUUUACUUAAAACACAUUUAUUUUAGUUUUAGAAAGAUAUUUGGUUAUUUAGAUUCAACGCGAGAAAAAUCGAAACCCAAUAAGUUAGGGCACAACUUCUCGAAUCUCAAAAUACGUAACUUUACUUAUUUUAAAGUCAUAAUUUAUGCAUAGGGUAGAAUUAAUGUAACAUAAUUUCAUGAUAAAAUGUAAAAAUAAAUCACGGUACUAAUAUACAUGACAAAAUAUUAACGAAUGCGAUUAUAGACAACAAAUAAUAAUAGAAAAAAUGAAAAUAAAACAAGAUAAAUAAUGAAAAAAAGUACAAAUGAAUCAAUUAUAUAAGAAAAAUAUGUAGAUAAACAAAUGAAAAACUAAAAAAAAUUGAAAAUAAGCAAACAAAUAAAAAGACAAAGAAAUAUUAAAUAAAACUAAAAAAGAUAAAUAUAAUAACAGUAAUAAUGAUAAUAAUAAUAACAAUAGUAGAAAUCUUAAAGCUUAAAGAUUAUAUAAAAUAAUAUAAACAAAUAAAAUAAAUAUAUUUAAUAUUUAGGUAAAUAAAUACAUAACAAAAAUAGCAAAAAAAAGGAUUAAAUUGAACUCUAAAACAAAAUUCGGGGGCAAAUUAGAAAUAAAUAAAAGAGAGAGGACCAAAUUGAACGUGUAGAUAACGAGGGACUAAAUGGGCAAUAAUCCCCCACCCUCCAAAACACACAGUUCCAUUGAGACCAAAUUGUAAGCGCAACAAAUUGUGGGGUAAAAUUGAAAAAAAAAUACUUGAUUAAAAACAUUAAAAAGCGGAAGGGCUGAAUGCGCAAAUAGACCUUUCCACAAAAACACACGGAUCCUCUUGCGGGUCGGGUCAGUGCGCGGGUUGAGCACGAAACGGCGUCGUUUUGGUGCCUGGGCUUGGCGCUCAAAACGACAUCGUUUUGACCCUCUAUAAAAGUUAAAAUUUUCUAAAAAAAAUUAUUUUUCCCCUUUGCUUCAAAAUUUUUUUGAAAAUGCUCUCAAUCCCUCUCUCCCUCUCCGGGCAUCGGCCCAAAAUCCGGCCAUAGGCCACUGCUCUUACCGCUAGUUGCCGGUGACGGCUCCGUCGUACACAGUGGCCGAAAAGUCGAAAAAUUUCUCUUUUUCUUCCAGCACACCUCCUCAGCUCCCUGAGCACUCCGGCGACGGCAAAAGGGAAAAGAGCCAUAUUUCGAAAUAAUAAAAAACAUAAAAAUAAAAUAAAACGAAAACAAAAAUAAAAAUAAAAGGUCACAUUUAGUUUUUUUUAAUCCUUUUUUGAAUCUAUUUUUUUUAUUUCUCAAAAAAAAUCCCCAUUUAAAGUGGCUUAUCAUCUUUUAUAGCCGAUUACAAGCUUCAUUUUUUAAUAUUCUUGUCACUUCAGUUGCAGGCACAAGUAGGCGGGGCAGGUGAGUGGCGGAGCAGGUGGCGCUGCAGCGGCAGCAGAGGGGUCAGAAGACCAAGGGUCAAAAUACCCUAGGUGCGGCGCCUAGGGUUCUUUUGUUUUCUGCUAGGUUUUAUUAUUAUUAUUUUGGAUUUGGGCCAUUCAGGUUUUGGGCUUAUGGUUUGCAUUUGGACUGGUCUUGUAAUUGGGCUCGGGUUUUAAAUUUUGUUUAGGGUCUAUUGAUUGGGCUUCUGGGUUAGGUCUAGGUGGGUUGGUAUUUGGGCUUGGCAAUUGUAAUUGGGUUGUUUUUGUUUUGCUGGUAUGAGCCAGGGCGAAAUUGGCCUAUAACAAUGCAUUUUGAUUGCUUUUGUAGGAGUGUUUGUUGAUAUAAUUCUAUUUUGUAUUUUUACACUCUUGUGGUAUGGAUUUUAUUGGAGAAUAAUCCUUGUUGUAAGUAAGGUUGCUUGAGGCGAAUGAUUGUAAUAUUAAGAGUAUUUUGUUGGGACUGCAAUUAUCCAUUGUAUAAUAGUUAGUUUGGACUUUACUAAUAGGGUUCUAAAUCCAUUUUUAAAUAAAAACAUUUAUUGACUAAUGUUCUGCAGACUCGAAUUAAUAUAUCCAAACUGCGUUAACAAACAUCACGAUUUGGGCGUUUGAAUAGUGGUAAAGAAAAUUAAUUAGUUAAUCGUUUGAAGACAUUUGACUUCAGUUUGGGUUGAUUGAAAGUGUAGGUAUCUUCUUGGAAGAGUAUUAUCAUUUGGACUCUUUCUAAACCUCAUAACAUCAACUUAUGAUAUCAACUCGAUCAGAAAUUUAAAUAAUAAUAUAAAUUUGAUUAAUUAUAAUCAAAAUUAACUCAAUAUAAAACCAAGAAAAUAUCCGAAAAAAAUCCAAGAUAAUUUCAAGAAAAAUCCCAUGCAUGUGGAUACGAUGUUUUAAAGUCCCAAAACUGAAAAUUUUGGGCACCGAAAAUAAAAAAAUUUGCAACUUAGGCACUAUUGUUACAUAAUUUUAUCAUUUUAGUCACUAUCAUUAUAUCCUUUUAUCAUUUUAGCAACUCGCCUUUAAUUUUCCAUUAAAUAUAUUUAUUUUAGUCACCCAAAUUUAGAAAGUUUUUAUUUUGGUCACUCAUUAAGUUUUUAUUUUGGUCACUCAUUUUAUCUUUUUAAUUUCUUUUAAUUUUUUAAUUUUUAAGGAUCAGUUUUAAUUUUUUUUCAGUAAAGGAGAAAAACUGAAAAUUUAGAGGAAAAUUCAGGUUAAAAAUUUCUUUAUUUUUUCUUUUUAGAAUUAAUUUCAGUUUUUUUUCUGAAUAAAAUGGAAGGGAAAAGCCUAAGAUUUUAUAGGGAAUUACCUAGGUUUUUAUAGAAAAAAUACUUUAGUUUUUACUGAAAAACUAAUUUAUCUUUUUAUUUUUCUUUUUAGAAUUAAGUUUAAUUUUUUUCAAUAAAAGGGAAACACCUAGAGUUUUGUAGGAAAUUACUUGAGUUCUUAUUAAAUUUGAGUGAUUAAAAAUGAGUAUAUUUAAUGGAAAAUUAAUGGUGGGCGACUAAAAUGAUAUAAAAGUAUGUAACGAUAGUGGCUAAAAUGAUAAAAGUAUAUAAUAACAGUACCUAAAUUGCGAACUUUUAAAUUUUGGUGUCCAAAAUGAAUACUUAUAAAAGUUGAGUGGCCAACUGAGUACAUUUAAUGGCAAAUUAACUAUGGGUGACUAAAAUGAUAAAAAAGGUAUGUAACGAUAGUGACUAAAAUGAUAAAAGUAUAUAACGACAGUACCUAAAUUGUAAACUUUUAAAUUUGGUGCCCAAAAUGAAUACAUAUAAAAGUUGAGUGACCAACUGUGUGGUUUACCCUUUUCUUUAUUUUGCAUAUCUAUUUUAUUGCCUUUAUUUAGGAUUUGUAAUUGUUUUAUUUAAUAAUAUUCAUCUUGAAGGUUUAAACUCGUGUUUUUUCCUUAAUAGUAUAACGUAUCUUACCACUACACCUAAUACUUGUUAAUGGUAAAAUAAAAAAUAGAUAUGAAAAUUAUAUAUAUAUUUAAAUCAAUCCAUCAAAUAUGAACUUUAUUAUAAGAUAAGCAUAAAAUUAUUUAUUUUAAAUAAUUUAUUGUAUACAAACAAAAUUUACUUGUACCACAUCAUUUGCAAUUUUAAACUUAAAAAGCUUAAAAACACACACACACACACAAAAAAAAAAAAAACAGAACACUUGUUUGAAUUCAAUUGGAUGAAGAAGUUGACAAUGUACGAGCUGCUAUGACAUGCACAUUCCUUGUCCAACAACUCAAACUCCCUCAUCUUUAAUCUUAAAGUGGGAAUCUGGCGAUGGAUUAUCUCCAUUCACUCACAGCAACUUCAACUGUUGCAAUCAUUGCUUUUCCACUACUUUUUCUUUUCUCUUUGCUAUGGAUCUCAAGAAGAAACACAAACUCGAAGAAAACAGCACCAGAAGCUGGUGGAGCAUGGCCUAUUAUUGGUCAUCUCCGCCUCUUAGGAGGAUCACAACCACCUCACAUAAGCUUGGCUAACAUGGCUGACAAAUAUGGAAGAAUCUUCAGUAUCAAGUUGGGUGUGCAUAGAGCUUUGGUGGUGAGCAAUUGGGAGAUUGCUAAAGAAUGUCUCACCAUAAAUGAUAAAGCAUUCGCCUCUCGUCCAAAGCUUGCAUUCUCGGAAAUUAUGGGUUACAACGGUGCCAUGACUGGCUUUGCGCCAUAUGGACCUUAUUGGCGUCAAGUGCGUAAGAUUGUCACUAUUGAGCUCCUCUCAAAUCACCGACUUGAAUUGCUUAAACCUGUGAGGGAUUCCGAGAUAAAGACAUCUCUGCAACAGUUAUACCAGCAGUGGAACAAGAAGAGAAGUACUAACUCCGAUAAAGUAUUGGUGGAGAUGAAGGGAUGGUUCAAAGAAGUUACUCUGAAUGUUAUUACGAGGAUGAUUGUAGGAAAGUGAAUUCCAAAUUCCAGUGAAGGAGGUGAAAACUUGAAAUGGAAGAAAUAUAUGGAUGACUUCUUUGAACUGAGUGGAAAGUUCCUAAUAUCAGAUGCGUUGCCGUUUUUGAGAUGGUUGGACAUAGGUGGAGAUAUGAAGUACAUGAAAAAGACCGCGAAAGAAUUGGACCAAGUUGUGGAGGGAUGGCUACGAGAGCACAAGCAGAAGAGAGCUGAAAAUAAGGCAAAUAGUGAGGAAGAUUUCAUGGGAGUGAUGCUGUCUAUUCUCAGUGAUGCGGAGGAACUCCAUGCUGAUACAAUCAACAAAGCCACUUGUCUCGUACGUGCAUCUCUCUUAACCAAACUGAUUGCCAUUAAUAACAUACAGAAGUUGGAAAUGCUAUUAAUUCAUUGUUGAUUUCCAUUAAUAACAUACAGAAGUUGGAAAUGCUAUUGAUUCAUUGUUGAUUGCCAUUAAUAACAUACAGAAGUUGGAAAUGCUAUUAAUUCAUUGUUGAUCUUUUUAUGGUAUUUGAUCUAAUAGGGUAUCGUCUUGGAGGCGGAGGAUACAACGUCAGUUACUCUGACAUGGGCUUUGUCUCUGUUACUCAAUAAUCAUGACACAUUAAGUAAGGUCCAACAAGAACUAGAUGUUAAGGUUGGUAAGGAUAGGUUGGUAGUGACGGAAUCAGACACCAAAAGCUUAGUGUACCUUCAGUCCAUUAUUAAGGAAACGCUACGCUUAUACCCUGUUGGUCCACUAUCCCUGAUCCAUGAAGCCAUUGAAGACUGCACAGUUAAUGGAUAUCAUGUUUCAGCUGGCACUUGGCUUAUUACGAAUCUUCAUAAGAUUCAUCGUGAUCCACUUAUAUGGGCAAAUCCCUCUAAAUUUCAACCUGAAAGAUUUAUGACCACACAUAAAGAUGUUGAUGUGAGGGGACAAAAUUUUGAACUGAUUCCAUUUGGAAGUGGUAGAAGAAUGUGUCCCGGACUUUCAUUUGCGCUUCAGAAUUUGUCACUUAUACUAGCUAAUGUGUUACAUUGGUUUGAGUUUGAGACCUCGUUAGAUGAAGCCGUUGAUAUGCGUGAAGCACCUGGCCUGACGUGUUCUAAAGCAACUCCAUUAGAAGUUUAUGUAACUCCUCGCCUUCGUGCUUUUGUUUACAAUUCCUCCAACUAAUUGGUAUUUUAAUUUUACUAUAAAAAUGAGUAGAUUUCAAUAAAUUUCUAAGGUAUCAUAUGUCAUGUAUUUAUACUAUAGGCAAUGUUUAGUAUUUUAACUUUAUUUUAAAAAUAAGCAAAAUUCAUAAAUUUCCAAGGUGUCGUACUUGCCAUUUAAUUAUGUUAUAGUUUAACGGGAAUUAAUCUUUUCGGAGUUCAUGGUUGCUCCUAAUAAUAUUGUCUGAAAGAGUCUAGCUUUAGUUCUCUUUUAAGAGUGCAAUGUGCCUUACUAUUACUCCUAGUACCAAGUUUUUUCAAACUAGGGCCCUUAAUGUUGAGUUUAGUAGAUUCUUGAUUGCUUUACUCCCAAAGAUUGAUAGACCACAGUGUGUAAGAUUUUUUUAGCCUAAUAAUAUGGAGCCAAUUAAGUUCAAAAUAAUGUAGCCCAAUUUAAAGGGAAUAAGAGCUUUACUUUAUAAUAGAAAUUAAAUCCUUUCGGUUCAUUCAGUUACUUGAUGGAUGUAUUGUAUUAAAUAUUGAUCAUUAUAAAUUGUUUAUCCCUCUACCUAUUAGGGUUACACACACAAAAGAACAAAUAAAAGUUAUAGCCUCCAUCACUUAAGAUUUGUGUAAUUGAGAGACAAGAUCAAGAGAAAGAAAUCAAUUUAUCAAGUAUUCAUCUUCGUCAAACCCAAUAACUAACUCAAAUUCCAGAUCAAGUAAUUCAUAGACUUGUGAAAACCAUAUUAUUCUAAAGAUCCUAAAAUAAUUGUUUACGCAACAUUAGGGAUUUUGUUGCAUAAUAAGAUUUCCCUUUUCAAUUUUGGUCAAUUAGUUUGUGCAAUGAUCUAAAUUAUUGUGAAUCAUAUUAGACUAUUUUUGAAUCGUUGGAUUUUUCAAUCUAGUGUAUACUGAAAAGAAGCAGUAUAUGUAUAAUAAGAACUUUGAAUGAAUAGAUAAAAACAAUGAACGAGAAGUAGAUUGCAUCGAGUAUUAUCCGCAUUAAUUGUAUUUUUCUGAUAAGGCAAGAGAUGACUUAGGAUUAAUUUAAUUUCUUUGGAUUAUUAUUUAGGUUGAUUAAUAAAUUAAAUAAUUGAGUUAAAAGUGAAAUUUUAAAUUAUGUAGUAAUCUUAGUUUAAUUCUAUUCAAAUAAUUAAAUACGUUUGCACAUAAAUUCUAAUACGGUAAAGUUAUCUUGAUUUUAAUGAAAUUAGAAUUGAGUUGUGUAAAUUAUUUAGUUAGAAAUAAUUAAUUAAAUUAAUUUUUAAUUAAUAAUGCUGAGUGUGGGGCAAUUGAUAGAGAAGGGAUUCAAGGUAAUGUUUGAAGAGGGAAUGUAUCUUAUCCUUAACUCUAGUGGAAAUGAAUUGUUUAGGAUCAAGAUGCAGAAGAAGAGCUUUUCAUUGAAUCUACUCGAGGAGGAGCAAGUAGCGUCCAAGUGUCAGAGAAUAAUAACAUAAAAUCAAAUGGACCUUUGUAACACACCCUAACCCCAAACCGUCACCGGAACAGGAUUAUGGAGCAUUACCAGACAUAUCGGAUAACUUAUAACUAAUUCACAAAUAUAUAACAUACAUAGCAUACUUUAAUCAUUUUCGUUUCAUAUUUGUAUAAAUUAUGUCAUUUUAGUUCCAUUUCUUACUUAUAACCAAUUUAAACAUUAUUCUACAACCGUAAUCACAACUCUUAUACUUAAACUAUACAUCACCUAGGUACAUGGCACAUUAUCAAAACAAAGGCACUUCACUAAAAUUUUCUUGAUGGAGUCGGGAUCUUUCUGGAUGCUGAACUGAACCUUGAAUUCUAAUGACCUGCGCACGGAAACAACCGUACGCUGAGUAUGGGUAUACUCAGUGGUAUUACCAUAAUUCAAAUUUAUAACAUUAAUCGAUAAAUUAUAUACAUUUAAUUUAUGUAUACAAUUAUUCAUUAAUUAUCUCAUACUUUAAAUCAACUUGAUCAUUAAUAACACUAAGCUAUAUUUCACUAUCUCAAUUUUCAUUGGAUUUUUCACAUCUCAUUCCAAUAAUUCAUUUCAAUUCAUGUACAAUUCAUUCCAUGUAAUUUAUAUUCAAUAUCAAUUCUAUUGCAAUUUGUACUCACUAAUAUCAUGUAACAAAAAAAAUUUACUCUUAAUCACAUCAUGAACUUUGAGUUCAUAUCUUCAAAUCUCAUAACUCGAUUUCCAAUUCACAUAUUAAUUCACAAUUUCACUUUAUCAUUUCUUUCCAUAGCUCAAUCACUCACACUUAUUCAAUUUUUCUCAUUCCAAUUGUUUACCCCAAUUAACAAGACUCGGACCUUGGCGGAUACACAUAGGUCCAACCAAACACACCAAAAUGGUACCCAGUGCCUCAUCGGAUAGUUCUAAGUAAUAAAGUGACACCCAAUGUCUCAUCGGCAGAGUCGAAGAAAGUGGGUACCUAGUACCUCAUCGAAACUAUCCGAAGAAAUAUAGUGACACCUAGUGUCUCAUCGACUCGAGGUCGAAGCAUCCCUGAGCACUUCCAAUCCUAUGGCAUGCCAACUAUAUUCGACUCAGCCCGACUCGUUAAUAGGGUUUCCGAAUCACAUUUCAGUUCAAUCACUUUCUCAUACUUUCAAUUCAAAUCAUUCCAAUUUAAUCACAAUUUAAUUCAAUACAUUUUUCACUUUCCAAUCAGUAAACCAUCAAAUGCUCAUACAUAUUCAUACUUCAUUUUAAUUUCAUUCAAUUCACAAUUUCUCAUGUUCACAAUUCAAAUCAAUUUUUCAAUCCAAUAUGCAUUUCAAUACCACAUUAAUUCUUUUAAUUCAAAUCAUAUCACUAGUAGUUUUCCAUUCAAUUCACAUACAAUUAAAUAUCAUUUAAUUCCAUAUCGAUAUUCACCUUAUUUUUAUUUACUAAACAUAUUAUUCAAAAUUCAAUAAUUACUAUUAAUAAAUUCAAUACCAAUACGUAUUUUUCAUUCAAUUCAAUCAUGAUACUUACCUCAAUUUGCUUAUCAUGUAUAUUAAUUUAAAUUUUAACAAUUAAUAAUUAAAUUCGAAUUAUGGUAAUACUAACCGUAAUUUUCUCGAAUCACUCCUCAUCUUUUUUUUUCUUUUCCUUUCUUGGCCAAUAUCUCUGACACGAUAUUAGCUACGAAAAAUUAAAAUAAUUUACAAUCAUCAAUACAAUAUUAAUUUUUCAUCUAAUACUUGAAUUUCUAUUUUACUUUCAUCUCAAUUUUGAUUUAAUCCCUAACUAAAUUCAUUUAUUUUUCCAUCUCAAUUCAUACCUCAUUUCUACUCAAAUUUCAACUAAACUUAAACUUAACUAUCAAAUUUUUAUCAUAAAUCCUUAAUUUUGAGAUUCUCUCAAUUUAGCCCUUACUAUUCAAAACUCAUAAUUUAUUUUACAAAUCAACGCUUUACUAACCUCUAACUUGAAAUUCAAUCAAUCUAAUCCCUAAUUCAUCAAUUAAUUCAACAUGAACAACAUCUAAAAAUUUACUAACUUUCAAAAUUUCAACUUAAAUCAAGUAGUAUUUUGUUCUAGGAUUCCAAAAAUAUCAAAAUUACAAGAAAAUAGACUAAUUUGAGUUACCAAAUUAAGCUUGGAACUUCAAAACCACAAUUUUUUCUUUUCUUUCUUUCCUUCUUUCCUUCUCUGUUUCGUUUUAAGCUUUCUGUUUCUUUCUUAUUUCUUUUCUUUCUUUUGUUUAUAAAAUAAAAUAAAAUAAAAUAAUAAUAUUUUAAUCUAAAAUAUCUUAUACUUAAAUAAUAAGUAAAUUAUACAUAUUAUAACCACACAAGUGUCACAUUUUUGGUUUAUUUACUAAUUUAAUCCCUUUAUUUAUUUCAUAAUUAAAAUUUCACAACCAAUUCAAUUUAGUCUUUUUAUCUAAUUACUUUUAAUUCACCCAGGAAUAACCAACCCUAAAACAACGCCAUUGGAUCCUACUUUUGUCUACCAAUCCAGCUAUUGUUUGUUAGAUUUUAGACCUAUAUUUAAUGGAUAAUGAUAUGAUUCAUAUAUAAUAUUUAGGAAAAUAUCUUCGAUAUCUAUUGAUGUGGACUCAACUAAUAAACUAAUAAACGAAUAAACAAAAGUCUACCAAAAUUGAUUUACACAUCAAAUCAAAAAUCAAUUCGAAUACUUCCAAAAUGACAUCGUCAAAGAUUUGUUUUUGAUUGGAAAAUGAAUGGAAUCAAUAAAAUAAAGGCUUGUAGGACAUUUUUGUAGUGCCCGAAGCUUAUUUUAUCAUUACGCAUAUAGUUAACAAUAAGAUUUAAUUGCAUUCCAUUCAUACUACAUUAAUAGCAAAAAUUAGAUAGAUUAUUUCUCUUUCUUUUCACUAUUAUUCUGCUUUUAAUGAUUAAAAUAAUGGUUAACUCUAUAAUAAUGAUCGCAUCUAUGACUACGAUCAUGACCACGACCACGACUUCUUUUAUUAUUAUAAUUACUAUAGAGUAAUUUUCGGAAUGGAGUUUCAUUAUUUUGCACAAUCACCAAUAAUGCUAGUAUGUUGAGAAAAAAAAUAGCUAAGUGCUUAAAAUAAAGCAAAUAAAGAUAAGAAUAAAUAAAAUUAUCGUUUACUUAACUAUACCGACCUGUCUUACUUACUUAGGGUGGGUUUGGGGUUAGUGUAAAAACAGCAGUGACGGUGAGAUUAGAUACUUUAGCGAUACUGUAGCAUAAGAUAAAAAGUAAACUAAACGCACCACACCGCACCCAAUCGCUUAUCCAAACUCACCCUUAGUUCAUCAACUUUCUUUAUUGCUACCAGUAAUCAAACUCAGCUACUUCAACUUAUAAAAUAUAAGGUGAAUCACAAUAAGUGAUGAUGCUAUUCCGUUUGAUUGAAUUAAUUUCAUUGAUCGAUAUACUCAAUUUUUAUCCAUGAGAGACACCUUAUAUUAGAAGACCAAAAAUAAAAAUAAAAAACGAUAUAUCAGUUAAAUACACUCUGUUUUCUACAAAAUUUAAAGAGAGAAUAUAUAUAUUCUUUUAUCCAUUAGUUAAAUACAAAAGGGAAUGCUAUCCGUUGAAUAAAUGGUGAAUGAUGAUACCCCUGCGGUGACAUUAAAUUAACCCUAUUAAUCCAACUCUCUCAUCUCUGCUAUUGCAUAUAGAUCUUAGAUUAAAGUAAGAAUCCAGAAAUGGAUUAUUUUCAUUCAGUCACAGCAACAUCAACUGUUGCAAUCAUUGCUUUUCCACUACUGUUUCUUUUCUCUUUCCUAUGGAUCUCAAGAAGAAACACAAACUUGAAGAAAACAGCACCAGAAGCUGGUGGAGCAUGGCCUAUUAUUGGCCAUCUCCGCCUCUUAGGAGGGUCACAACCACCUCAUAUAAGCUUGGGUAACCUGGCAGACAAAUAUGGAGGAAUCUUCACCAUCAGGUUGGGUGUAAAUAGAGCUUUGGUGGUGAGCAAUUGGGAGAUAGCUAAAGAAUGUCUCACCAUAAACGAUAAAGCGUUUGCCAGUCGCCCAAAGCUUGCAAGCUCGGAAAUUUUGGGUUACAACUGUGCCAUGAUAGCCUUGGCACCGUAUGGACCUUAUUGGCGUCAAGUGCGCAAAUUCGCCACAAUUGAGCUCCUCUCAAAUCACCGACUCGAAUUGCUUAAACUUGUGCGGGAAUCCGAGGUGAAGGCAUCACUGCAACAAUUAUACCAGCUGUGGAACAAGAAGAAAAGUAGUAACUGUGGCAAAGUAAUGGUGGAGAUGAAGAGAUGGUUCAGAGAUGUUACUCUUAACGUGGUACUAAGGAUUGUUGUAGGGAAGCGAAUACCGAAUUCAUACGAAGGAGAUGAAACCGUGAAAUGGAAGAAGUCGUUGGACGACUUGUUUGAACUAAGUGGGAAGUUCUUAAUAUCAGAUGCGUUGCCUUAUCUGAGAUGGUUGGACAUAGGUGGAGAUGAGAAGUCUAUGAAGAAGGUAGCCAAAGAAUUGGACCAAGUUGUGGAGGAAUGGCUACGAGAGCACAAAGAAAAGAGAGCUGAAAAUGAGGCAAACAGUGGGGAAGAUUUCAUGGGAGUGAUGCUAUCUAUUCUUCGUGAUGCAGAGGAGCACGAUGCCGAUACCAUCAACAAAGCCGUCAGUCUCGUACGUGCAUUUCUUAAUCAAAUCCUAUAUUUGUUUGAUAUUUAUAUUCAUCAUUCACCUGAAUACCAAUUUCAAUCUGAUAUUAAUAGUUUUACUGUAAAUGAUUUAAUAGGGACUUACCUUAGCCGUGGAAGAUACCACAUCAAUUACAAUGACAUGGGCUUUAUCUUUAUUACUCAAUAAUCGCGAUGCAUUGAACAAGGUCAAACAAGAACUAGACAUUCAUGUUGGUAAAGAUAGACUCUUAGUUACAGAAUCAGAUACUAAAAACUUAGUGUACCUCCAAUCUGUCAUUAAAGAAACACUACGCCUCUAUCCUGCUGCUCCACUCGCUGUAAUCCAUGAAGCCAUUGAAGAUUGCUCAGUUUAUGGAUACGAUAUUUCAACUGGCACUUGGCUUAUUCUUAAUCUUCAAAAGAUACAACGUGAUCCACAAAUAUGGGAAGAUCCUUUAAAAUUUCAACCAGAAAGAUUUAUGACUACCCAUAAAGAUAUUGAUGUAAAGGGACAUGACUUUGAACUUAUUCCAUUUAGCGGUGGUAGAAGAAUGUGCCCUGGAGUUUCAUUUGCGCUCAAGAUUCUGGAACUUACAUUAGCUAAUUUAUUGCACUGGUUCGAGAUUGAAACUCUAUCAAACGAAAUAGUUGAUAUGCGUGAAGGUCCAGGAGUGACCAGCCCUAAAGCAACUCCAUUGGAAGUUCAAAUAUCUCCUCGUCUUCCUACUUUUGUUUACCAAUCCCGCAAUUAAUUUCUAUUGUUUGUGUUAAGCCACAUGUUUAAGCUGCUGCCACUUAUCCAGUUUUCUGUUUUUGUUUGAAUAAUUCUCUUUGAUUUUAGGAGAUAGUUACCAGAUUUCUUGGCUUUUUUUUAGAUCUAAUCUCUAUUUUUAGUUAUGGAUACUAGUAUAUAAGUGUUGGAGUAUUCAAUAAUAAAGUGUAUUCAAGUCUUUAAGUUUCAUUCUAAUCUAGAGCUUUCUUCUCCUCUCUUCAAUAUUUUUUAGAAAAAUUACCAACAAAUUUAAUGUGUAAACACUAACAGUUUGUUUGAUUUUAGACGUAUAUUUAAUAAAUAAUCUCCUCGUCUUCCUACUUUUAUUUACCAAUCCAGCAAUUAACUACUAUUGUUUGUUGGAUUUUAGACAUAUGAAAUAUUAUAAAAUAUCAUCCAUAUCUAUGGAAUCAACUAAUAAACUAUAAUAUAAUUUAAACAAAAGUUUAAUCAAAAUUGAUUUACACACGAAAUCAAAAAUCAAUAUGAAUACUUCCAAAAUGACAAAUUUAUCCUGCAAUAUUAUCGACUACUUGUCAUCACAGAUUUGAUUUUGAUUAAAUUAAUGAAAUCUAUUACUCUAGAGAUCUAUGUCAUGGGUCUGUUUUUAAUUGAACCAUAUGAUCGGUUUUAGUGGAAAAUGAUAGAAUCAAUAAAAUAAAAUAAAGACGUGUUAAUAAUAAAAUUUAAUUGCAUUCCAUUAAAAAUAAUGGAUACCUGUUUAUUGUUCAAUAAAAAUGGUAUUGGACAAAUGGAAAUUGAACAUUUCCUCAUCAAACUUUAUAAGAUACUAAGGUACUGUAUGCUUAUCCAUACCACAUUAAUAAUAGCAAAAAUUUAACGGUGGUUGAAAGAUGAGUUAGAUUACAUUUCUCUUUCUUUCCACUAUUAUUGGUCUUGAUUAAAAUAAUUGUUAACUCCAUAAUAAUAGUAAUUAUUGGGUAUGAUAUGGUAACCCUGAUCAUGACCAUGGUUUCUUCUAUGUAUUAUUCUAUUCACUUUUGCAAUGGCGUCAAACAAGUGGAUAACUUUUAUAAUUUUUUAUUUACCAUUCAUUAUUUUGUACAACUACCAAAAAGUAUGAGAUUUAACCCGUGUAUUUUUUAAUAUCUUUUUCAUGGUAUUGUUACUGUAAAAAUAUAUUGCAUCGAUGCAUGAAAAGUUAAAAAAAAAAGUUCUAAUAUAUUAUUAUCAACUAUCCUUUGUCCACAAAAAUUUAAUUAAAAACUCAUCUUGAAUAUUACAUAAUUAUAUUCACUCAGAAAUUUAAAAUCUUGUAACCUUUAGUGCAUCUAAUUAUAACAAUCAACAUCUUAUGUUUACGAGAGCCAAGGCUGGUGUUUUUAAGACCAAAGUCUAUACGGUUCUUGCACACGAGGAAGUUGAUCCUGUGAAUGUGCAUGAGGUGAUGGAGCAUCCAUCUUGGCAGGAAGCUGUGAAGGAGGAAUUAGAUGCCCUUCUCAAGAAUGGUACUUGGUAUUCUAAUUUGUUAUUAUUUGUAUUCUAAUUUAGAAGGGUAAUUUUUUUAAUUUGUUAUUGUUUGUAUUCUAGCUUAAUAAUUGAGUAAUAUUAUAUAUUUAAUUUGAUGUAUUUAUUUAUAAAUAAAUUGUUGCAAUAUAUAAAAAAACAUAAAAUAUAUAUUCAUAAAUAUAAAACAAAUUCAAUUAAACAAUGAAAAUAUAAGAGAAUCUUAAAUGUAUUAAUUGGAAACAAUUUUUAUAAAAUAUUUUCAAGAAAAUUACCAAAUAACAGAAAAUAUUUUAUGCUGAUUUAUUUAAACACCAUAAAAAUUUAAUUUUUUUUAAAAAAUAAAUCAUUUUUCAAAAAUCAAUUUUUUUUGAAAAUCAUUUUCAAGAAAAUAAAUGGAGCCCAAGAUUGGAAUUAGUAUAACCUGUCGUCUUUCUUCACAUCGCAGUACUUCGUUGAUUUUCUUAUAUGGCUUCAAAAUUCCAAUAUCAGUAACGUAAGUUAGUGAAAGAUCAAUAUACGAUAAUUACGUCAACAACACAACAAUGCAUAUAUAUGCAUUGUCUGUAUCUUAGAUUGAAAGUAGAAAUUUGGCGAUGGAUUAUUCCCAUUCACUCACAGCAACUUCAGCUGUUGCAAUCAUUGCUUUUCCACUACUAUUUCUUUUCUCUUUUCUAUUGAUAUCAAGAAGAAACACAAACUCGAAGAAAACAGCACCAGAAGCUGGUGGAGCAUGGCCUAUUAUUGGUCAUCUACGCCUCUUAGGAGGGUCACAACCACCUCACAUAAGCUUGGCUAACAUGGCUGACAAAUAUGGAAGAAUCUUCAGUAUCAAGUUGGGUGUGCAUAGAGCUUUGGUGGUGAGCGAUUGGGAGAUUGCGAAAGAAUGUCUCACCGUAAAUGAUAAAGCGUUUGCCUCUCGUCCAAAACUUGCAAGCUCGGAAAUUUUGGGUAACAACAGAGCCAUGUUAGGCUUUGCACCAUAUGGACCUUAUUGGCGUCAAAUACGCAAGGUUGCCACUAUUGAGCUCCUCUCAAAUCACCGACUCGAAUUACUUAAACAUGUAAGGGAAUCCGAGGUGAAGACAUCUCUGCAACAGUUGUACCAGCUGUGGAACAAGAAGAGAAGUGCUAACUCCGAUAAAGUAUUGGUGGAGAUGAAGGGAUGGUUCAAAGAAGUUACUCUGAACGUGAUUAUGAGGAUGAUUGUAGGGAAGCGAAUUCCAAAUUCCAGUGAAGGAGGUGAAAACUUGAAAUGGAGGAAAUCGAUGGAUGACUUCUUUGUACUAAGUGGAAAGUUCUUAAUAUCAGAUGCUUUGCCGUUUCUGAGAUUCCUGGACAUAGGUGGAGACAUCAAGUUCAUGAAGAAGACAGCGAAAGAAUUGGACCAAGUUCUGCAGGGAUGGCUACGAGAGCACAAGCAGAAGAGAGCUGAAAAUAAGGCAAACGGUGAGGAAGAUUUCAUGGGAGUGAUGCUGUCUAUUCUCAGUGAGGCGGAGGAACACCAUGCUGAUACAAUAAACAAAAUCAAUUGUCUAGUACGUGCAUAUCUCUUAACCAAAUAGAUUGUGAUUAAUGGCAAUUUUUUUUGGUCAAGAUUGCUAUUAAUAACAUACAUAAGUUGGAAAUGCCAUUAUUUCAUUGUUGAUCUUUUCAUGGUAUUUGAUGUAACAGGGACUUAUCUUAGGCGCGGAGGAUACCACAUCCAUCACAUUGACAUGGGCCUUAUCUUUGCUACUCAAUAAUCGUGACAAAUUGAGUAAAGUCCAACAAGAACUAGAUGUCCACAUUGGUAAGGAUAGACUACUUCUGACCGAAUCAGACACCAAAAACUUAGUGUACCUUCAAUCCAUCAUUAAAGAAACUCUACGCCUAUAUCCUCCUGGUCCGCUCUCUGUGAUCCAUGAAGCCAUUGAAGACUGCACGGUUAAUGGAUACCAUGUUUCAGCUGGCACUUGGCUUAUUAUGAAUCUUCAUAAGAUUCAUCAUGAUCCACUUAUAUGGGCAAACCCUUUUGAAUUUCAACCUGAAAGAUUUAUAACUACCCACAAAGACAUUGAUGUGAGGGGACAGAAUUUUGAACUAGUUCCAUUUGGAAGUGGUAGAAGAAUGUGCCCCGGAGUUUCAUUUUCACUUCAAGUUUUACAGCUUACGUUGGC
rnacentral:lncRNA from 1 species